rnacentral:lncRNA from 1 species
GGUAUCCAGGCCGCCAUCGCCGAGCUGCCGUCGCUGAGCCCGUCCCCCGAGGUCGACAGGCUCUUCACCGACCUCGUCACGGCCUGCGUCCCGCCGAGCCCCGUCGACGUGACGAAGCUCAGCCCGGAGCACCAGAGGAUGCGGGAGGCUCUCAUCCGCUUGUGCUCCGCCGCCGAGGGGAAGCUCGAGGCGCACUACGCCGACCUGCUCGCCACCUUCGACAACCCGCUCGACCACCUCGGCCUCUUCCCGUACUACAGCAACUACGUCAACCUCAGCAGGCUGGAGUACGAGCUCCUGGCGCGCCACGUGCCGGGCAUCGCGCCGGCGCGCGUCGCCUUCGUCGGCUCCGGCCCGCUGCCGUUCAGCUCGCUCGUCCUCGCCGCGCACCACCUGCCCGAGACCCAGUUCGACAACUACGACCUGUGCGGCGCGGCCAACGAGCGCGCCAGGAAGCUGUUCGGCGCGAGCGCGGACGGCGUCGGCGCGCGUAUGUCGUUCCACACGGCGGACGUCGCCGACCUCACCCAGGAGCUCGGCGCCUACGACGUGGUCUUCCUCGCCGCGCUCGUCGGCAUGGCAGCCGAGGAGAAGGCCAAGGUGAUUGCCCACCUGGGCGCGCACAUGGUGGAGGGGGCGUCCCUGGUCGUGCGGAGCGCGCACGGCGCCCGCGGCUUUCUUUACCCCAUUGUCGACCCGGAGGACAUCAGGCGGGGUGGGUUCGAGGUGCUGGCCGUGCACCACCCGGAAGGUGAGGUGAUCAACUCUGUCAUCGUCGCCCGUAAGGCCGUCGAAGCGCAGCUCAGUGGGCCGCAGAACGGAGACGCGCACGCACGGGGCGCGGUGCCGUUGGUCAGCCCGCCAUGCAACUUCUCCACCAAGAUGGAGGCGAGCGCGCUUGAGAAGAGCGAGGAGCUGACCGCCAAAGAGCUGGCCUUUUGAUUGAAGAGUGCGCGUGGUCAUUCUGUCGCCUGCGAUCGUGGUAACUUUCCUACUCGUGUGUGUUUUGAUGUUUGUGCCUGUAAGAGUUAUGCUUCCGGCCUUGUGCUGUUAAUUUACACGCGUUACAUGUAGUACUUGUAUUUAUACCUGGAAUAACGGUAUGUAACAUAAAUAUUAGUGGGAUUUGAAGUGUAAUGCUAAAUAAUAAGAAAACUUGAUGCAGACAUUCAGAAAGUGUCCAAUCAUUAACUUCAUGAAAACCACAGUUUUGCUAUUUCUCAUUCCACCUACAAAUACUGCAUUCAUUUCGAAUUAUAAGAUAUUCGAAAUUAAAUAGGUAAUUUUUCGAGUAGAUUAAUCCACGAGAUAAUAACUAGCAUGGUAUUGACUAGACUAAUGAUAUAGUUAUCAUGAACUAAUCUAGCACAUACUGCACGUAUAGUCGAUACAUCUAUGCAUGCAAGUAGUACUGUUCUGAUUGAAACGAACAGGAGUGCGAUAAACGAGUUAUACCCUGCAAUAGGCCAGUUGGCCGUAGCAGCGGCGUUGGCGGCGGACGCAGUCGUAGCAGCAACAUCCUCUGUCGCCUUCUUCUCAGCUUCAAGGGCGAGACGAUCGGCCUCGAAUGGUUUAGUCAUGGCGAUGACGAGGACGACGUGGACGUAGACGAAGCAGACGGGCGGAGGCGAGCAGUCGUGUGAUCGCUCCCCAAAAACCUAAUCGUCCCUCUCCCGUACAGGAACCGGAGAGGCGGGGUCUCGAAGGUCUGCUCUCCCGUUGACCGUGUACGCGGUGAACGGGACGGACUCGCCGGCGGCAGCAGCAACAAAGGAACGAGCGCGUGUCGUGGGUAUAAGUCUGAUAGUAGAUGUGUAGGGUACGAAAGGAUGUGCAGAACCUUAGCUACGGCGAGGUUGUAUGAGUUCAGGCCCCCCUACGGUGGAGGUAAUAGCCCUACGUCUCAGUGCUCUGGGAGCUUGUUGUCGAGUGGAAUAUGGAUUACAGUGAAUUGCUAACCCCUGCACCAGUGGGGAAGGGUGGCUUAUAUAGAGUGCGCUGCCCUUCACAACGGUUCGGUGCACAGGGGUGGAGUAGUGGCGAAUAAAUGCCUACGUUACAGGUAACGUACGUCUUAAAUGCUAAUAAAGGCACAUGGAAACGUAUGACCGUUUCCCUCCACGGGGGGUUACGAUGCACAGAGUGGAAUCCAGUCGGUUAGUUUGAUACACUCCGAAUGCUCAUCUCCGACUGGGUGAUGGAGGAUUCGUCACCGACUGGAUGAUGGGAAGUCCUUAAUUCAGUCGGAACUGACUAAGGGCCUUAUCCCUUAUGAAGGUAGUCCUUGGGUAGGACUUAUAGGGCAGGCCUAUGACCCUACCCUAGGACUAUAACCCCAUCAUUAGUCCCCGAAUGGAUUGGGGUUGGAACGACGAAGCGAUGCUUGGAGUACGGAUCCGACUGGUACGGAUGCGACUUUGGCGUUGUUUGCCUCGAUCCAUUUUAUCUUCUUUGACCCAUGAUCCGAGUGGAUGUAUUUGUGAAACGAACCGUCAGGGACCGAGUGCUUCCGUGGUAUCUUUUGACGUGACCAGUCAAUUGACAGCGGCGGAUUUUCCGGGAUCCUCAAAUUUCGGUUGCCGCGCGCUCAGCGGGGAUGACGACAUCGCAAUCGAGUAGUACUUAACGCCUCGAUUCCCGCGCCUUCAUCUUCUCCACUAAUAUUGCAGCAACCGAUCGGGGGAUAAGAUUUCGGGGCCACUUGCUAGUGACCCAGUCGGAACCCUAUUUAAACUUCUGCGGCGAGGGUUUUUGUUACACUCGCCGGAUAACUUGCAUUUGCUCCGCUUCUCUCGCCAUCCCCUGCGCAUCCCGAGUUCCUUCCUUCUCCUUCUCCCUCGCGAAUCUGCAGCCUCCGCCAUGAAAAAGGGGCAGACUAACAAGCUAGAGGCGCGGAAGAAGAAGGGGAAGGCGGCGGCUCCUGCUCAGCGGCGGCAGCGAGCGCUACCGGCGGGUUGGAUCCAAGGGGAUUUCCUCCCCUCCACGGUGACGGAGGAGAACUUGCUGGAGUUGGUGGAGCACGGAAUGAUUGCGCACAAGUCGUGGAGGUUGCCGGCGGAGGGCGAGACCGAGCCGGCGCCCGGGAGGGGGAGCGCGUCUUGCUGCUCAGCCACGUGCACCGAGGUUUCUCUCUGCCUCCUCAUCCCUUCUUCAAAGGUAUAAUGAACGACUUCGGGGCGCAGCUCCACCAUUUUCCCCCAAACGCCAUAGCUUAUCUCUCUGCCUUCGUCGUGUUGUGCGAGUGUUUCAUCGGCUGUCCUCCCCAUUGGGGGCUUUUCAAACACAUCUUCUCUGCUAGAUCCCAAACCAUCAAACGACUUAACCAGUCGGAUGAUAAAACUCACCUCCUCCAGCUCUGUGGAGGCUUAGGCUUCCAAAAGAAGAGUAAAAGUAGCUAUCCUGCUCUUCAGUUGAGUGAAUCUGUUAGGAACUGGCAGUCGACAUGGUUCUACUGCCAGGACGUUGCUUGCCCGAAUGCCACAACAGGACUGCCUCCUUUUAGCUUAGACCGACCGGCUCCGCCUAAGCAGCUCGCGCUCACGAAGGCGGAGAAGAUCUAUAUCCAGCCUCUGGUCGAUGCGCUUGUAGAUGUCGUCCGAAGGGGAGUCACCGACAUAGAUUUGCUGGAGGUUUUCCUGGGUCGGCGUAUCCAGCCGCUGCAAGCUCGAUACCACGCCAUGUGGCACUACACGGGGCCUGAGGACUCCACUCGGACUAACGUCGAGUGCGUGACCGGGGAGACGGUAGCGUCGUGGGUCCUCAACAUCACAGGCGCCUGCGAAAACCCCAGAGGGGCCCGGCGAGUGAAGGCCUUCCGCGCGGACAACCCUCCUCUGAAUGAGGUGAGUACAACUUGUCGAGUGCACACAAUUGUCUUAGAUUUAUCGCUUUCUUGAAUCACUGUCUCACGUCUGAUGUUGUCGACUGUAUCUUGUGCAGGCGUGGACUAACUGGUUUUCUCCUGUCUCGAACGGGAAUCCGGCCGAGGAGGAGGAAGACAGCCAGGAGGGCAGCGUGGAGAGCGUCGAGUACGUCUCCGACAGUGGGGAGACGGAGGAGGAGUCCGCAGAAGAAGAAGAGGCAGAUGAGGAGCAGAACUCGCCACCUCCACCGCCAGAGCCUCGGACUAAGCGUCGUCAUGAACCUGUGGCUCCUUCGGCUCCUCCAGCAUCCUCGAGUGCGCCGCCAGCUCCGCCAGCUGCUCCUGUGGUACCGAGUGCCUCGCCAGCCGUUCCCGUGGCUCCGAGUGCUCGGAGCACAAAGAGGACCAGGGACUCUGCCGCUGAGCCUGCGGGUCAGCCCUCUAAGGUGGCUAAACCGAGUGGAUCUAAGCCUCGGAAGGCUUUGCCGCGGAUGAGGGUCAUAGUUCCCGUCACCUCAACGUAAGUGCAUGGUUCUUCUAUCUUCUUUCAGUAUUUGAUUGAACUCCUGCUUAUUGGUCGAAUGAAUUUUACUCGACAGAGUUGCCACCUCUGCCACCUCUCCGGCACGCCAGGGGGACAAUCCCAUGGACAUGGACAACGUUGUCACAUCCCAGCCAGGUGCGUCGUGGUGAUUCCGAGAGUUUACAUUAUUGCAUCACGAAUUCUGUCUUUGGUCUUGCGUUUUUCCUGUGGUCUCACGCCGUUCGGUCGGGUUUCCCUCACGGGUGAUUUAUGUGGAGGAGGGCAACCAGAGGAGGUCCAAGCAAGCUGCGGUGCCUGUCCUUGAGGCUGUUCUGCCGGUUACUACUCUCGCCAUGGACGCGCCGCCGACUGAGGCGAUGCCGUCGACUGAAACGGCGCUGAUCGCUGCUGAACCGACUGGACCAGGCCUUGGGAUGCCCAAGGAGCCUCCUAUGAUGCCAGGCCCGUCAACUGUCGAGUACAACGUCCAGCGCCUCCCGGAGGAUCAGGUGCGAGCUGCCAAGGGGGCCAUGGUGCAGGCGGAGCUGAUGGCGGGAGAGGCCAAGAAAGCGUACGACUCCAUCACGUCCGUGUACAAGCGAAGCUUGGAACUGCGGGACGAUAUCUGAGUAAGUGGGCUAGUAAGCAUUUACUUUCCUCUUGUAACCCGCUGGGUGUUUGAUCAAUGCACUCGGAUAUUGUAAGAUUAUUUUGCAGUGGGUUCACUCUUAGUGACCCAGUGGGUGUAGUCCCCGAGACUUCUGUCGAGUGCUUGCACCGGCAGUUGUCUUUAUACACAUUUUCUUUAACUUGAUCAGAUCAAAAACUAAUUUGUUCGAAUGUUAGCAGUGGGGGCACUCCGAGUGCACCUACUGGAUGAGUCCCCGAGAGUAACUUUACUCAGGUCGGGUAGUAGUAACCUCAUAGGCUUGUUUGUUGUCAUGUAUCUCAAUAGGGCGGACCUGUUUGAGCUUCAUGCCAGUGGGGUCACUCUUAGUGAACCCAUUGGGUGUAGUCCCCGAGACCGCUGUCGACUGCUUGCGUCGGCAGGGGUCUGAAGAACUUAGAAUUUUUAUUGUUGUCCUUGUUGAAUUUGUCUGAUCGUCUCUUGGCGCUGACUUGCAGAAAACUUGCGAGAUGGGAGCAGCAUACGAGACUCUGAGGGCUGAAAAGGUUCAGUUUGCUGGGGAACUGGAUGCAGCAAUGGUUCCCUUGGCUGGUAUGAAGGAUGUUCUGGCUGAACGAGAAAAGUCCUUGGAGGAGGCCCGUGAGGCAAACAAGGCGUUGGCGGCUGAAGUGGAGAAAAUGGGGAAACAAAGGACCGAGCUGAUGGGACAAAUGCAAGUGUUGAACAAGCGGUGUAUAGCACAGGAAAAUUACGUCAGUGACUGGGCCCGGAAGAUGAUAGCUCUUCUCGGUGGUAAGUUCCGUUUUUUCGAGUGCUUGUGGACUGUGCAUUGCAUUCUGCGCUUACUGUUUGCUCGUCCUGUCUUUGCAGAUUUUUGCAUGGACGCAGAGGCUGAAGCAGCUGACGUUGAGCGGUCGAUUCUUGCGAACGUUCCACUCGGCGAGGACGCCAAUCGAGAUAUGCUCCGAGCGCACAUUCGCCUGGGCAAAGUGGGACCUUUCAUCGGUCGACUGAGAGAGGUCGUCGGCCGAAUCAACAAGGAGCUUUGGCCUGAAGAUGAGUCUCGGCACGAGAUGGAAGGCUUGAUGGCUCGGCUGGAGGAGGUCCCGAACCGACUGCAGGCGUGGAAGAAAUCUGCGGCUCGCUGUGGUGCGGACGUCGCUCUGUCGCUUGUCCGAGUGCACUGCAAGAUGGCUCGCGAAGAGAAGCUGAAGGCGUUGCAAGUCGCCAACACCAAAAAGCUUCGAUUCAAAGAUUUCAUGGAGACCUUCCUUGAGAGUGACACUCGCAUCGCAGACGGGAUCGACCUCGACACAUUCGUGGAGCCUGCCAGUCCCAGUGCCAGUCCUGACGAUGUUUAAGAAAACUUUUACCUCGGUAUGCCGAGUGUUGGUUGUAAGAAACUUUGGCCACUGUUGUUGGCCGUCACAUUUGUGGUUCGGUGUGGAUAAGCUUGAUCUACACCGAGCCAACUAUCCUUAGGCGAACUUUGAAUUUGAAUCGAAUCUUUUUCUCUUCUUUUGCCAAAGAGUUGUUGACACGAUUUCUGCUCGUGGUUUUUGUUUGGCGUUUCUUGGUGGAGCCAAUGGCAAACAUGCAGAGCAUGUAAUUGUCAGUUGUCUUGACAUCUGCAUGAGCCUCACUGAGGGUCUGCUGAGUCUCCGAGUGGAUAUGCAGGAUACACUCGAAGGCAAUUGAGUACUUAGGCGAUUUGUGAUCGCGGCUAAGUCUUCGAGUGCGACUGUAAGGUUGUACUCGGAGCGAGUUGUUACUCAUGUAAUUGUCAGUUGUCUUGACAUCUACAUGAGCCUCAAUGAGGUUCUGCUACUCAUGUAUUUGUCAGUUGUCUUGACAUCUACAUGAGGCUCAAUGAGGGUCUGCUAAGCCUCCGAGUGGAUCUGUGAGAUACACUCGAAGGAAGCUUUCUAUUUAAGCGAAUCUUGAUAGCACACAAGUCCCCGAGUGCGACGUUAAGUGCACACUCGAAGAAAGUGUGUAGUUAGGCGAUUCGUGAUCGCAGCUAAGUCCUCCAGUGCGACGGUUAGUGCACACUCGGAGAAAAUUUGUACUUAGGCGAUUCUUGAUCGCAGCUAAGUCCCCGAGUGCGACGUUUAGUGCACAGUCGGAGAAAGUUGGUACUUAGGCGAUUCUUGAUCGCAGCUAAGUCUCCGAGUGCGAUGUUUAGUGCACACUCGGAGAAAGUUAAUACUUAGGCGAUUCUGGAUCGCAACUAAGUCCCCGAGUGCGAUGUUUAGUGCACACUCGGAGAAAGUUAAUACUUAGGCGAUUCUGGAUCGCAGCUAAGUCCCCGAGUGGGACGUUGAGUGCACACUCGGAGAAAGUUAGUACUUAGGCGAUUCUUGAUCGGAGCUAAGUUUAUUUUUUAAGACCAGAGUGUGCGACGACGGAAGAAUUUUGAAUCUGCAAAAACUCAAUCUGCUUUGUAUUACUUCAACGAUACUUGUUCUUUACAUUGCUUCAGUCGACGGUCACGUGUAGAAGCGCUUCAAGAGAUCUCCGUUCCAUGCUCGCGGCUCGUCCGUUUCCCUGUCGAUGUUGUAGAGUCGGUAUGCACCGUUGUUCAGCACCUUGGAGAUGAUGAAGGGUCCUUCCCAGGCGGGAGCCAACUUGUGAGGUCUCUGUUGAUCCACUCGGAGCACCAGGUCGCCUGCUUGGAAUGUGCCACUCCUGACGUGUCGCGCGUGAAAGCGCCGCAGAUCUUGUUGAUAAAUGGUUGAGCGAGUGAGUGCCAUCUCGCGCUCUUCCUCUAGAAGAUCCACUCCGUCUUGCCUUGCUUGUUCUGCUUCAGCUUCGGAGAAGAGUUCAAGUCGUGGAGCGUUGUGAAGCAAGUCACUUGGAAGGACUGCCUCUGCUCCGUAAACAAGGAAGAACGGGGAUCACCCUGUAGAUCUAUUUGGGGUUGUGAGGAGACCCCAAAUCACCGAAGGUAGCUCGGUGACCCAUGCACCAGCGGCAUGUCCCACCUCCCGAAGGAGUCGAGGCUUCAAACCUUGCAGAAUAAGUCCAUUUGCCCGCUCUGCUUGCCCGUUUGUUUGGGGAUGCGCCACAGAUGCAAAAUCCACUCGGAUACCUUGGGCUGUACAAAAACCUUUGAAUCUGUCCGAGUCAAAGUUUGUUCCAUUGUCAGUGAUUAUGCUGUGAGGUACCCCGAAUCUGGAGAUGAUGUCCCUGGCAAACUUGAUGGCUGUUAGGGCGUCGAGCUUCUUGAUGGGCUUGGCUUUGAUCCACUUUGUGAACUUGUCGACUGCCACCAACAGAUGUGUGAAUCCCCCUUGGCCUGUCCUGAAUGGACCGACUGUAUCUAAUCCCCAUACCACAAACGGCCAAACAAGAGGGAUUGUCUUCAACGCAGAUGUUGGCUUGUGGGACUUGUUAGAGUAGAACUGACAGCCUUCACAUCGGUCGACCAUAUCUUUCGCCAUUUCAUUUGCCUGCAGCCAGAAGAAGCCAGCUCUGAAUGCUUUGGCGAAGAUUGCUCUUGAAGAGGCGUGAUGACCGCAGGUUCCCGAGUGAAUUUCCUCUAGGAUUAACUGUCCCUCCUGUGGGGAGAUGCAUCGUUGAAGGACGCCUGAAACGCUUUCCUUGUACAACUGGCCAUCGAUGACAGUGAACGACUUUGACCUUAGGACGAUCUGUCUGGCUUGGACUUCGUCUUCUGGUAAUUCUUGCCUCAGGAUGUAUGCAAUGAUCGGCACAAUCCAAUCGGGGAUGACAACAAGAAUCUCCAUGAUCAAAUCAACCACAGCAGGUACGUCGACUUCAGUCGGAUCUGUCGAGCUCUUUGGUUGUACUGGUUCCUCCGUGAAAGGAUCUUCUUUAACUGAGGGAAGGUGGAGGUGCUCGAGGCAGACGUCACUCGGGACUGGUCUCCGAGUGGAUCCGAGUUUUGCCAACUCAUCAGCUGCCUGGUUCUUCAGUCGCGGAACAUGGUGGAGUUCUAGACCUUCAAACUUUUUCUCGAGCUUCCUCACUGCAUUGCAGUAUGUGGUCAUGGUGGGGUUCCUGACGUCCCACUCCUUCAUCACCUGAUUAACCACCAAAUCCGAAUCGCCAUAAACCAUCAGGCGACGGACGCCGAGUGCGAUGGCCAUGCGCAGUCCAUAAAGGAGAGCUUCAUACUCUGCAUCAUUGUUGGAGGAAUCAAAGUGUAUCUGCAACACAUACUUGAGUUUGUCACCUUUUGGCGACACGAUCACAACGCCAGCAUCGGAGCCAUUCAACAUCUUGGACCCAUCGAAGAACAUUGUCCAAUGAGCCGAGUAGAUGUGGGUCAGUUGCUGUUGUUCUACCCAUUCUGCUAUGAAGUCAGCCAGAGCUUGAGGCUUUAUAGCUUUCUUGGCCUCGAACUUGAUGUCGCAGUACAACAUCUCCAUUGCCCACUUCGCCACUCGGCCCCAUGCAUCCCGAUUGUGGAGGAUUUCCGACAACGGAGCAUCAGAAACGACGGACACCGAGUGGUCUUGGAAAUAAUGAGCCACCUUCUUCGCAGUCAUGUAAAUCCCGUAGAUAAGUUUUUGAUAGUGGGGAUACCUCUGCUUGGAAGGAGUCAGGACUUCGGAGACGUAAUACACUGGCCGCUGAACUUUGUAUGCUUUGCCUUCUUCUUCUCGUUCGACUGCGAGAACAGUGCUGACGACUUGAUUUGUAGCCGCGAUGUACAGAAGAAGGGGCUCUUUACUGAGCGGAGCAGUAAGAACCGGCUGGGUGGAAAGUAGGACUUUGAGGUCGUUGAAUGCGACUUGGGCUUCGUCUGAUCACUCGAAAGUAUCUGAUUUCUUCAUGAGUCGGUACAGAGGAAGCGCCUUCUCGUCGAGUCGACUGAUAAACCUGCUCAAAGCCGCUAGGCAACCUGUGAGCCUUUGAACAUCGUGUAUUCUGACCGGCCGCUACAUUCGGACGAUGGUCCCGAUAUUUUCGGGGUUGACGUCGAUCCCUCGUUCGGAAACGAAGAAAUCGAGUAACUUUCCGCUGGGAACGCCGAAUGAACACUUGGCUGGGUUGAGCUUGAUAUCGUACCUACGAAGGUUGGCGAAUGUUUCUGCCAAGUCAGUCAGCAGGUCGGAACCUUUGCGUGACUUGACUACGAUAUCAUCCAUAUACGCCUCCACAUUCCGACCGAUCUGGUCGAGGAGGCAUUUUUGGAUCAUGCGCAUAAAGGUUGCUCCUGCAUUCUUCAAACCAAAUGGCAUAGUGAUGUAGCAGAAGCACCCGAAUGGGGUGAUGAAGGCUGUUUUUAAUUCAUCGGGGCCAUACAGACGGAUCUGAUGAUAGCCCGAGUAGGCGUCAAGAAAUGACAAACGCUCGCAACCCGCAGUCGAAUCGACAAUUUGAUCGAUGCGGGGGAGCGGAAAAUGGUCUUUCGGGGAGACCUUAUUGACGUGCUUGAAGUCGAUGCACAUUCGGAGCGACUUGUCCUUCUUGGGCACCAUGACAACAUGGGGGAGCCACUCGGAGUGGUGUACCUCGCGAACGAAGUUGGCUGCCAAAAGCUUGGCCACCUCUUCUCCGAUUGCCUUCCUCUUGUGCGCAGCGGACCGACGCAGGCGUUCUCGGACAGGACGAGCGGCGGGAUCCACAUGCAGUCGGUGCUCAGCCAACUCCCUGGGUACACCUGGCAUGUCAGAGGGCUUCCAUGCGAAGAUGUCCCAGUUCUAACGGAAGAAUUGGAUGAGCUCGGCUUCCUAUUUAGGAUCAAGGGUAGUGGAGAUGUUCGUCGGGGCAGCGGUGUUGUCCGUCGGGUGGAUGCUGACCUUCUUCGUCUCUCCCGCCGACUGGAAUGUGGACUCCGAAGCUGGCUUCUUCGAACGCAUCAAGUCAGCGGGGUCGACUGUUUUCUUGUACUCGUCAAGCUCGAGGACAGCCAUCUGCUGAUCGGCGAUUCUUGAUCCCUGCUGCAGACACUCCUCGGCCCGUUGUCGAUUUCCUGUGAUAGUGAUCACACCUUUUGGGCCAGGCAUCUUCAGCUUCAGGUACACAUAACAUGGACGAGCCAUGAAACACGCAUACGCCGGGCGGCCCAGAAUUGCGUGGUACGCACUUUGGAAGUCCACCACCUCGAACAUCAUCUUUUCCUUGCGGAAGUUCUUGUCGGAGCCGAAGACGACGUCCAACGCGAUCUAGCCGAGUGACUUGGCCUUUCGUCCAGGGAUGACUCCAUGGAACUGCAUGCUGCUCUCGCUGAGUUUGGACAUCGGAAUGCCCAUCCCCUUGAGAGUGUCGGCGUACAUGAUGUUCAAACCACUGUCGCCGUCCAUGAGGACUUUGCGCAGUCGAACUCCUUCCACCACCGGGUCGACGACCAGAGCCUGCCUCCCUAGGGUGGGUACGUGUGCUGGAUGAUCCGAAUGGUCAAAGGUGAUCGUAGUCUGAGACCAUUUGAGGAACGUGGGGUUGGUCGGCGUGGCCAUGUUCACCUCCCUGUUCACCAGCUUCAGUCGACUCUUGCUCUCAACGUCAGCAAAAAUCAUCAGUGUUGCAUGGACUUGGGGGAACGGAUCCUCCUUGUCCUCCUCAUCCUGUUCAUUGCCCUUUUCACUCGGUUGCCCUUCGCCGAACCCCUGGAUCAGGAGGCGACAUUGCCGAGUGGUAUGCUUCGGAUAUAUGGCGUUGCCCUCUUCAUCUAUCUUCGUGUGAAUCGGACAUGGCUGAUCCAGGAUGGGGUUACUGAACUACUUCUUCUUGGGGGUGAACUGACCCUUCCCUUUGCCCUUGAACUUGGCAUUGGUAACAGCUGCGGCCUCUGCCCGCGGAGUGGACGGAGCUUUCUGUUUCUGCUUCCGAGUGUUAUUCCCAUCUCCAUCGGUGACUGCUUUGUGCUUGCCACUGCGGAUGCGGUCCUCUUCUUCGCCAUUCGCAUAGCGUGCCGCUAUCUCCAUCAUCUUACUCAUGGAGAUGUCGCCAGUUCGACCGAACUUCAAGUACAGAUCUCUGUACCGCACGCCUGCCUUGAAGGCGCAGACUGCUUGGUGCUCUGUGACGUUCUCCACCGUGUGGUAGAGGGUCGUCCAACGCUGAAUGAAAUAGCGCAGGGGCUCAUUCUGCUUCUGGACACAGUGCUGGAGCUCCACGAGGCCAGCAGGGCGUUUGCACAUCCCUUUGAAGGUCCCGAUGAAUACUCGGGCCAGAUCUGCCCAGCUGUAGAUGCUUGAGGGGGCCAAUUGGUUCAGCCACGGUCGCGCCGAGCCGUCGAGCAUCAGAGGGAGGUGCUUCAUGGCGACGUGGUCGUCCCCUCCUCCGAUCUGGACCGCCACUCAGUAGUCGUCCAGCCACGUUUCUGGCUUGGAUUCUCGUGUAAACUUGUUGAUCCCCGUCGCCAAUCGGAAGUUGGGAGGGAUGUCAGCCGACCGGAUGGCUCGACUGAAACACUCGGGACCAGAGACAAUGGUCCUCCUUCCACUCGGACGGUCCAUAUCGUGACCAUCGCGGUGGGCCCGGCCCCUGUCGACCCUCCGUUGAGCGAUAUGCCCUCUCGCGUCGGGCCUUCGAUCGUAAGUGUCACCGACUGAACGCCGAUCAUCAUGAUGUCGGGGCCCGUAGGGCCCACCCCGCGGAGCGGUGCGUGAACGGCGGCGAUCUUCGGGAUUUAUGGAACGGCUGCCUCCACGUUGCUCCGCCGAGUGUGCCGACUAGCAGAACGGCGGGGCUGACGGCGAGCGCCGGAUGUUUCACCGACCUCGUGCUCGUUCCGGCCAGUUUGGCGGGGACUUUCAUGGGAGUUGGCCAUGUGCACUUCAGCCGCAGGCCCGCGACCCAAGUACUCGGAAGGAAACUGAGUCGGAACUGAAUCCGAGCGCUGGGACGGCGGCGCAACCACAACCGACUCUAGGACCGCCACUUGCGAGGACGCGUUCUGGCACGUCUGGGCGUGUUGCACCCAACGCUGGAGCCGCGGACGGCGGGACCGCUUGUUGCGGCGCGUGACGGCGGUAUAGAUCGACACCGGAGCCGACUGCUGGAGAAGAAGAAUACCGCGGGCGCCGGCACGGAAGUGCGUAGCCCCACGACGGGAGAGCGCCUCGACGUCGAGAGGGGCGUCCCGAAGCCAUGCCGAAUCGUGGACGAUGAAGGAGAGAGCGCCGAAGAGGAUCUUUAUUAUCCAUGUUGGAAAUAUGCCCUNNNNNNNNNNNNNNNNNNNNNNNNNNNNNNNNNNNNNNNNNNNNNNNNNNNNNNNNNNNNNNNNNNNNNNNNNNNNNNNNNNNNNNNNNNNNNNNNNNNNUUGCAUGCCUGCAGGUCCAUUGAUCUCAAAAACCUAGACAAAAUCGAGCAGCCAUGGCCAAAAGGGUCAAUCCCCACCCACUCACCCAACCAGGAUCAGUUUAUUGAGGCAUGGUUGCAGCAAUUGCACUGUAAGGCUCCAAAUGGUCUGUGAAGGUAGUGAAUACCCUUGGAAUCAUGAGUAAACAAACAAACCCUAGUUGAUCAGUGUAUGGCUAUAAUAUGAUUCAGUAGCCCACCCAAAACAAGCAGCCAGGCACAGGAACAAAACCCUCUCCUCUAGACCACAAACAAGAAUGGAGCCACCCUCCAACUGUCGUCAACCACCCAUGUCCAAAAAUGCGUGCCCAACAACAUCGUUUCUUGCCUCUUCUCUUGGGCUGGUACUCCACUCGAGGGCUGCCAGUGAAGAUAUAGAACGCCUGUUAAAGCCAGUUGGUUUGUCAGCCCCUGUCACUACCAACGUGCAAAGACUCACUUGUCUGUUACGACCACAAUGUUCUCUCCAAGCUGCCAACGAUAUGGAGUUAGCAGUUCUCUUUACCUCCGAUGGUACACCUCAUUUUGUGGCAGUGGCAAAUCUUGCUAGGCGUGCCUUCUUCUUCGCCUCCUCCUCGGCCGAUAAUGGUACUUUACCACCGCUGUUUGUCACAAUUCCAAAUCUCUCUGUCCGAGCCUUCCUCUUUGCGGCCUCUGCAUCAGCACUUGUUGGGCUCAGUGCCAUUGGAGUCGCCGAUUCUUUCUUUUCUCCAUUACCGAACCUAGCAGCCCGUAGUCCCAGCUUUUCUGCCUCAGAGACUUUCAGUUGCGUUUUAAACCGUUCAGCGCGUCUUUGUUUCUUCUCUAAAUCUGAGAGGGGCGCCGCUACCCCUCCGCCGUUCAUUUCUUGAGCUUUUGCAUGGUCUGUUGGCACUGUUCUACCCUGUCCAGUGCUUUUGACGGCGACUGAGGGCGCCUCAACGGUAGCGGCGGAGACAUCUGCACCAGUCACUGCCCCGAAAACUUCCGAUGCCUUGCCAAUCUCACCACCUGCAAUUCCAUUGGUGUCCUUUCCUGCCACUUCUUCUGGGGUCACCACUCCAUCGGUGCCAUCCUCCUUGGGAGAGAAGUUUUUUAGACGUUCAAUUAAUAAGGACUUCAGACCUGAGGUAUCCAAGCCUCUGUUAGCCAACUCCUCCCUUAGAGUUUGCACCUUCAUCUUCUUCCACACAGUCGACAUGUAAACGCAGCAACAAGUUCCUCCUGUGGAAUUCUGGAGAGGAAAAUGCUUUUCCUCCAGCAGCCCCAAGGUCUUAAGAUUCUCCCUGAGUUAGAAUGGAGGAGGACGCUGUGGUAAGAGGGACAUAUGGAAGGAGAAUGCACAGACACAGACGAAAGAAUACCGCCCAGUAAAGACACAAUGCAGAACCUCAAGCCUCGAUCUUUGAAAAUGGAUUGCCUUACAAGGCAGGCCAACCUUUCUAUGAACNNNNNNNNNNNNNNNNNNNNNNNNNNNNNNNNNNNNNNNNNNNNNNNNNNNNNNNNNNNNNNNNNNNNNNNNNNNNNNNNNNNNNNNNNNNNNNNNNNNNAACUAACAUUGAGUGCAAGCAUGAGUAGGACAUAAAUCACCAUGAACAUGAAUAUCAUAGAGGCUAUGUUGAUUUUGUUUCAACUACAUGUGUGAACAUGCGCCAAGUCAAGCCACUUGAAUCAUUCAAAGGAGGAUACCAUCCUAUCAUACUACAUCAUAGUCAUCUCAACAUUCAUGUUGGCAACCAAGACAAACCAUUAUAAGCUCCUAGCUAAGUAAGCAUGGCAUAAGCAACUAUGAUCUCUAAGUUGUCAUUGCAAACAUGUUUCUUUCACAACAAAGCUGAACUAGGAACAGUGAGCUAGUCAUAUUUACAAAAACAAAAUAGAUCGAGUUUAUACCAGAUUUUCCAGGCUCAGUCACUUCAUCAUAUAUCGUCAUUAUUGCCUUUCACUUGCACGACCGAAUGAUGUGAACAAUAGUAAGAGUGCUCGUGCAUUGGACUAAAGCUGGAAUCUGCAGGCAAACACAAAGGAGAAGACACAGUAAUAUGGCUCUAUAACAGCUAAACAGGUAUGCAUGCAAGAGCCACUAAACAUUGUAACCAUGGUCUUCUACCUUGACCCAAAGAAAAAGAAAACUAUUUACACGGGAAAGCUUCCAACAAGCAAACGAAGAAAAGAAAAUCUUUUUGGGUNNNNNNNNNNNNNNNNNNNNNNNNNNNNNNNNNNNNNNNNNNNNNNNNNNNNNNNNNNNNNNNNNNNNNNNNNNNNNNNNNNNNNNNNNNNNNNNNNNNNCCCCGGGUCUAUUCACAUCCAUCAUUUACACCUCCGCUUUUACUUUGCUUUUUUACUUUGUUGCUUUAAGUUCUCACUUGGCGAACAAUCUAUAAGCGAUUGACAACCCCUUCAUAGCGUUGGGAGCAAGCUUUUGUGUUUGUGCAGGAUCUUGUGACACUCCUGUAGUGGAUUGAUACCUUGGUUCUCAAAUUGAGGGAAAUACUUGCCACCGCUGUGCUACAUCACCCUUUCCGCUUCGAGGGAACACCAACGCAAGGCUCCAAUGCCACGGGGUAAAUCCUUUGCAUAUUUGCGUAGGAAGUCCCUUAAGGCGUAGCCAUAGCAGAAGGAUUCCUGGUGCCGUCGACACGACUAUUCUUGGCGUCGUUGCCAGGGAAGCAUAGCUCACAUCACUUCUCCUAACGUGAUUUCNNNNNNNNNNNNNNNNNNNNNNNNNNNNNNNNNNNNNNNNNNNNNNNNNNNNNNNNNNNNNNNNNNNNNNNNNNNNNNNNNNNNNNNNNNNNNNNNNNNNNNNNNNNNNNNNNNNNNNNNNNNNNNNNNNNNGAUUUCCAUGAACGUUCCACCUGAGGCGGAGUCCAAGAUAUUUCUAGAAGCUAAAUUCAAGCCAGCGCAAAAGAUUUGUAUAAUCAUCCAAAGACUCAAGCCAUGAGCGGGACAAUUUCUAAUCAUUAAUUUCAUUCUCUCCCAAGCUUGUGCAACAUGUUCAUGAUCAAGUUGCUUGAAAUUCGUGAUAUCAUUAUGGACAGAGAUGAUCUUAGCCGGCGGAAAAUACUUGGAUAUGUAAGCAUCUUUGCACUUAUCCCAAGAAUCGAUAGUAUAUUUGGGCAAAGAAGAAAACCAUGUUUUCGCGCGAUCACGCAACGAGAAAGGAAAAAAGCUUCAAUUUAAUAACGCCAUUAUCCACAUCUUUCUUCUUUUGCAUAUCGCAAAGUUCAAUGAAGGUAUUGAAAUGGGAUGCGACAUCUUCACUAGGAAGGNNNNNNNNNNNNNNNNNNNNNNNNNNNNNNNNNNNNNNNNNNNNNNNNNNNNNNNNNNNNNNNNNNNNNNNNNNNNNNNNNNNNNNNNNNNNNNNNNNNNUAUUGGCAUCUAGUAUUCGUCGAGCAUCGUUCUAGCCAUCUCCAUGAGAGUCCGGUUCUUCCACUCAACAACUCCAUUUGGUUGAGGUGUGUACGUCGCCGAGAACUCAUGUAAUAUACCUUCUUCAUCAAGUAAAAUAUCCGCAUUUGUGUUCUUGAACUCCAAUCCAAUGUCGCUCCGAGCUUUCUUGAUCUUCACUUUAAACUGAUUUUGGGCUUUCCAAUCGAAGUUCUUGAAGAUCUUUUAUACCUACAACUUCUCAUCAAGAAAUAAUACCCACGUAAAUCGGGAAAACCAUCAACUAUAACUAGACCAAAAGAAUUUCCACCGAGGCUCUUGUAAGCAUUGGGACCAAAGUGAUCCAUGUGAAGCAGCUCGAGUGGCCUUCUAGCAGUCAUGAUAUUCUUCACGUGGUGACUUCCACCAACUUGUGUCCCUGCUUGACAAGAACUACAAAGUCUAUCUUUGUCAAAAAUAACACCUUUAACACCAAGAAUAUGAUCACCUUUGAUAAGCUUGUCUAGAUUAUGUAUACCAACAUGUCCUAGCCUUCUAUGCCAUAACCAACCUUUAGAAGAUUUUGCAAUAAGACAUGUACGGUGUCAGGAUUUGUUAGUGAAAUCGACAAUGUAUGGGUGUUCCCUCGAAGCGGAAAGGGUGAUGUAGCGCAGCGGUGGUAAGUAUUUCCCUUAGUUUGAGAACCAAGGUAUCGAUCCAGUGAAGGAGUAUCACAAGAGCCUGCACAAACACAAAAAGCUUGCUCCCAACGCUAUGAAGGGGUUGUCAAUCCCUUAUAAAUUGUUUGCCAAGUGAGAACUGAAAGAAACAAAGUAACAAAGCAAAGUAAAAGCAAAAGUGGAAACGAUAGGUGUGAAUAGACCCGGGGGCCGUAGUGUUUACUAGUGGCUUCUCUCAUGAAAGCAAGUAGACGGUGGGUGAACAAAUUACUGUCGAGCAAUUGAUAGAACCACGCAAAGUCGUGACGUCAUCUAUGGCAAAGAUUAUAUCUAUAGGCAUCACGUCCAAAACAAGUAGACCGAUACUUUCUGCAUCUACUACUAUUACUCCACACGUCGACCGCUAUCCAGCAUGCAUCUAGUGUAUUAAGUUCAUAAGAACAGAGUAACACCUUAAGCAAGAUGACAUGAUGUAGAUGGACAAUCUCAUAUGUACGAUAAAAGCCCAUCUUGUUACCCUUGAUGGCAACAAAACGACGCGUGCCGUGCUGCCCCUUCUAUCACUGGGAAAGGUCACCACACGGUAUGAACCCAAAACCAAGCANNNNNNNNNNNNNNNNNNNNNNNNNNNNNNNNNNNNNNNNNNNNNNNNNNNNNNNNNNNNNNNNNNNNNNNNNNNNNNNNNNNNNNNNNNNNNNNNNNNNNGCAAGCAAUGUAACUUAAUGUAAGUUGCGGGAUCUUGUAUUACAGAACGAGUAAAGAGACUUGCCGGUAAACGAGAUUGAAAUAGGUAUGCGGAUACUAACGAUCGAAUCUCGGGCAAGUAACAUACCGANNNNNNNNNNNNNNNNNNNNNNNNNNNNNNNNNNNNNNNNNNNNNNNNNNNNNNNNNNNNNNNNNNNNNNNNNNNNNNNNNNNNNNNNNNNNNNNNNNNNNNNNNNNNNNNNNNNNNNNNNNNNNNNNNNNNNNNNNNNNNNNNNNNNNNNNNNNNNNNNNNNNNNNNNNNNNNNNNNNNNNNNNNNNNNNNNNNNNNNNNNNNNNNNNNNNNNNNNNNNNNNNNNNNNNNNNNNNNNNNNNNNNNNNNNNNNNNNNNNNNNNNNNNNNNNNNNNNNNNNNNNNNNNNNNNNNNNNNNNNNNNNNNNNNNNNNNNNNNNNNNNNNNNNNNNNNNNNNNNNNNNNNNNNNNNNNNNNNNNNNNNNNNNNNNNNNNNNNNNNNNNNNNNNNNNNNNNNNNNNNNNNNNNCGGAAUGGUCCGGAAACGAAGAUUGAUAUAUAGGAUGACCUCAUUUGGUUACCGGAAGGUUUUCGUGCAUUACCGGAAAAGUUUCGGGCUUAUCGGUAGUGUACCGGGAGUGCCGGGAGGGGUGCCGGGGACCAUCGGGAGGGGUGUCACGCCCCAAGGGGUCUCAUGGGCUAUGGGAAGAGAUAAACCAGCCCCUAGUGGGCUGGAAUAAGUUCCCACUAAGGCCCAUAAGGUUUGAGAAGGAAAAAACACAAGGUGGAAAGAGUUUCCAAGUGGGAAGGUGGAAUCCUACUCCAAGUAGGAUUGGAGUAGGACUCCUCCACCUCCAAUUUCGGCCAAACCUUUAGGUUUUGAGGCUGCCUCCUCCCCUCCCUCCCACCUAUAUAUACGGAGGUUUUAGGGCUGAUUUGAGACGACUUUUCCACGGCAGCCCGACCACAUACCUCCACGGUUUUUCCUCUAGAUCGCGUUUCUGCGGAGCUCGGGCGGAGCCCUGCUGAGACAAGGUCAUCACCAACCUCCGGAGCGCCGUCAUGCUGCCGGAGAACUCUUCUACCUCUCCGUCUCUCUUGCUGGAUCAAGAAGGCCGAGAUCACCGUCGAGCUGUAUGUGUGCUGAACGCGGAGNNNNNNNNNNNNNNNNNNNNNNNNNNNNNNNNNNNNNNNNNNNNNNNNNNNNNNNNNNNNNNNNNNNNNNNNNNNNNNNNNNNNNNNNNNNNNNNNNNNNNNNNNNNNNNNNNNNNNNNNNNNNNNNNNNNNNNNNNNNNNNNNNNNNNNNNNNNNNNNNNNNNNNNNNNNNNNNNNNNNNNNNNNNNNNNNNNNNNNNGCGGGGCGGAUCGAGGGACGUGAGGACGUUCCACUACAUCAACCACAUUCACUAACGCUUCUGCUGUGCGAUCUACAAGGGUACGUAGAUCACUCAUCCCCUCUCGUAGAUGGACAUCACCAUGAUAGGUCUUCGUGCGCGUAGGAAAAUUUUUGUUUCCCAUGCGACGUUCCCCAACAUAUAACCCCAUCAGCGCGUGAAGCAGAUGUGAUCUGAUUCUCUUGACGGCUAGGGUUGGCGUUAGCCCUGCUUAUAUAGGCGGGCGGGUGGAGAGACGUGGGCUGAACCCACGUCCGAGUCAGUAACAGCCCACGAUCCGACGUCUCAUAUCGUGGCGCAUCCAUUACGUAUUCUCCGUUCCUGACCGGCAAAAAUAAACGCGUAGGUAUGAGCUUGGCUCGUCUCAUUCCCGCAACCCGUCGUGACGAGGCGUGGCGUGGUGAGGCGGGCGACGGAGGAGGAGUGCGCGAGGGCAUCUUCUCUUCUCACUCUCCAAUAGCAUGUAGAAGAGAGACCCUUAUAAAGGGGUCCAACUUCUUCUUCACUAGCGGGGAGGGACUAAACUUCCCACCACUACCUUGUCAUGCCACCACCUACAUGGGCCCUUGGAGAUUUCAGAAAUUCUCUUAUGGGCCUAAAGCCCGCCACGAAUUUCAACAAUCCCCCACCAUAUCUCAAGGACACAUCGUGUUCCAUCGUUUCAAUUACUGUUUUAAUAUACCAGCAUUUCAGUGAAGACCUGCUAAGGUUGAGCUUCACCUAGAACAAGCAGCUACACCCCUUUACAACUGAACAAUGGACUAUGCCUUGAAUUGUCAGUUUGGCGUAAAGAAGCUUCACCACAAGUCUUACUAGUACUAGGCUACCGAAGGCUGACCCCUCGGAUGGAGCAUAUUAGUCACACUCCUUGCCUAUUCAUGAGUUUACUAGAGAUCACCCCAAUCUCAUAGACUGCGACCAGCAGUCAGGCUCAUAUAGGUGUGUUCCUUCAAAAAUCGCUCUGUAAGACAACAUCUUGCUUACACAUAAGCUUUAGAACACAUUAAGACAAUAGCAUCCUACCAUAGAGUAUCCGAGAGCAUUGCAUCUCCAACGGAGUGGGUUAGUAAAGUUACUCUCCUCAGUUCACCACCGACUUGUUUUCCCAGGUCCUACUUCACGGGAUCUCCGAUCAUAUAGGUUGGGUUACUGCCAUGGCAACUCAUGUGGGUCUCAUACCCAUCUCCCUCGAUGCACUAUCUAUCACAACACGUGAUAGCCCUUUAGUAAAGGGAUCUUCCAGAUUCUUAGCCGUUUGGAUGUAAUCCAAUGCUAUCACUCCGGAGUUUCUCAAACGUCUGACAGACUUCAAUCUCAUUCUUAUAUGUUUGUUGGACUUCAUAUUGUCCUUUGAACUCUUCACUUUGACAAUAACUGAUAGAUUAUCGCAGUUCAUAAGGAUAGCCGGAACCGGCUUCUUAACCACAAGUAAGUCCAUCAAAAGAUCUUGAAGAAAUUCUGCUUCGACACCAGAAGUGUCUAAUGCUGUUAAUUCUGCUUUCAUUGUCGAUCUCUCCGUUCCUGACCGGCAAAAAAAAGCGCACAGGUAUGAGCUCGGCUCGGCUCAUUUCCGCAACCCGCGACGCGUCGUGACGAGGCGGGCGACGGAGGAGGAGUGCGCGAGGGCCUCUUCUCUUCUCACUCUCCAAUAGCAUGUAGAAGAGAGACCCGUAUAAAGGGGUCCAACUUUUUCUCCACUAGCGGGGUGGGACUAAACUUCCCACCACUACCUUGUCAUGCCACCACCUACAUGUGCCCUUGGAGAUUUCUGAAUUUCUCUUAUGGGCCUAAAGCCCAACACUAAUUUCAACAUAUUACAAAAAAUAUAUCAUUAGAAACUUUAGAUGUUCUAUUUUCUUAUGAUAUAAUUUUUAUGUUAAAUAAUAUAUUUUAUAUAAGUUAAAUUAACGACCUAGGUACACAUGCAUCCUUCUAAACUGUGACGGAGGGAAUAAGAAAACUUGAUGCAAACAUUCAGAAAGUGUCAAAUCAUUAACUUCCCGAAAACCCCAGUUUUCCUAUCUCUCAACCGACCGACAAAUACUCCAUUCAUAUCAAAUUAUAAGAUGUUCGAAGUUCAAGAAGUCAUACGAUUAAUCAGUUAACUUGUCGUUUAAUUCCUACUCGCAAGUUCAUCAAAUAGCCGAUAUAUUAAUAAAUCUACCAAUUAAUUAAUUUAAUGACCGAUUAACUUGUUGAUUAGAAACAUGCAAGGAAAUCAAUGAAUCUAAGUGAUCAACCUGUGACCAAGUAAUAGAUUAGUCAACUAGCAUAAGGAUGGAUGGUAACAAAGUCAGCGGACGCAGGAGCAACACACAUGCCGAGGAUACGAACUAAGCGGCACUGGCAGGGCACCUCAGAGAGGUGGCGGGUUAACGUCGUCGACACGCUUAGCUUGGUGUGGAUCAUCGAUGUGAGGAGCCUCUCCUCCAUAGUGCGUCAUCGCUGGACUCAAUUUCGAACCCCUCCUCCCACCAGAACAACAACAAGGUGUGGCGGUCUUGCUUGAUUCCUCACUUAUCUUCUUCUUUGUUAUUUUCAUCCUCUGCUCACCUGCCCCUUGGAAGAACCUCAAGCGACAUCACCUCACCUCAUUCUUCACCUCAUUCAUGCCCCUCGUACUCUCUUUCCUUGCUCGGUCCUAAGUUCCUGACCCACAUGGCAACAUCACUUCCAAAUCAAACAACACCUUUCGUGCAUGAGAGAUACAUGUCCGACCUGUCGGGAACAAGGGAAGGGGAGGAUCGACCGGGGUGCGUCGCUGCAGCUUGGCGAGGGAGAUGAUAGAUCGGAAGCAUGCGUCAUUUUUUAACCGGGCGUGCCUCUUUCCAUUACUUAACAUAAUGAAAAUACAAAGUUCCGAACAACAAAGGAAACCACAAAGGGGAGCGAGUUCAAAGCAUUUCUGGAAAAUCCACCAUAUGCACUCGUCAACGAGCAGCCUACCGCAGGACGAAAACCCAGAAACACCAUAAAACACACCAGCUAACCUAACCAACAAAGCCAGGGGAAAAACUCUUACACAACUACAGGAUACAGGUAGACCCACCACCGAGUCGACCAAUCACCCACGCAGGGGCCAAAACAGAAGAACUAAGCCAUGCAUCUACCAUCAUUAGUUGAUAUUCUUGAGGGCUGCACAAAUCCGCAUCAUGCUUAAUGCAUUGCUCUUCACCAUCUUUGCUCGACGCUCCAUCGCCUUCUGAUCAGCUCUAGUCAUCCGUUUUCAGGAACAUUCUGGAAGAUUCCAACCUGUUUUUUUCGCUUUCACGAAUAUUAUAGAAGAUCAACGUUUUUUGUUGAUUUUUUUACUAAUGUUUUUAUUUCAAUUUUAUUUUCCUUAUAUUUUUGUUCAAAUUGUUCACAACUUCUAUAGAAAAAAUUGUGGAUUUACACAAAUAAUAGCGUUUCAAAACUUUUUUGCUAGUUUUAAAGAAUUUUUGUGUUUCCAAAUUUUGUUUGGAAGAUUCAGAAAAUGUUCUUAUUUUUAAAAAUUGUUCAGAUAUUUCAAAAUUUGUUCAGGAGUUUAAAAAAAUGUUCCCGUUUCAAUAAUUGUUUGCAUAGUCCAAACAAUGUUCGUGUUUUCAAAUUUUGCUUCAGAGUCUCAAAACCACGUUCUAUUAUCCAAAAAAAAUUCAUGUUCCAAUAUGUUUUGAAAUUUCGAAAAAUGUUGCCGUCGUGGAAAAAAUGUAUUGUAUUGCCAAAUUGUGUUCCAUAAUUUCAAAAAAAUGGUGUUAUCUAAGGAAAUUGCAACUUAGAAGAUAUUCCCAUUUUGAAAAAUGUUUGUGUAUUCAUUUCUAGCCAGAUUUUCAAAAACAUUUUUCAGUAUUCUCAAAAAUGUUCCCAUUUUCAUAAAUGUUUGAGUUUAAAAGAAUAAUGUUCACAAAAAUCCUUAAAAUAUGUUCACAAAUUUCAAAAAAAUCAUGUCCUAUUAUUUGGUUCAGGAGUUUAAAAAAUGUUUCCGUUUCAAUUAUUGUUUGCAUAUUUGAAUAAAUGUUCGCAUUUUCAAAUGUUGUUCCAGAAUCCACGUUCUACUUUUCAAUAAAAAAUCGAUGUUCUGAAUUUUCUUUUGAAAUUUCAAAAAAUGUUUCUUUUUUCGAAAAUAUGUAUUGUGUUUUCAAAAAAAAUCCCCAAUUUUUUAAAAAGUGCUGUUUUCUAAAGAAAUUGCAAUUUAAAAUAUAUUCCAAUUUUGAAAAAAUGUUUGCGCAUUCAUUUCUUGCCCGAUAUCCAGGUGGUAUAACAUGAUCAUUUUUUUAGGUCUGGAGAAUCGCGCUACAGUACCCACUCGCUGCUGGUCUCUAACUUGGGCCGACCUAGUCGGUUAUCUGCUUGUGAGUGCGGACCGCAAUUUGCCGCACAGAACGGCCGAUAGACCUCCGGUCAGUCGCUGGUUCAUCUGGGUCACGCGGCCACUGUAUUGGGCCUAAUCUAAGCCAACGACUUGCGGCGCACUCCGGCCGAACGCCACGAACAACAUAUGCAUCGCUCCAAGUCUCCAAGAUGAGGCUUUGCUAUCCGAGUAGUACACGCAGUGCUUGACAUGCACACAUAUCCCUGUUUGAGUCCAACUCCCCCUCACCAACCUUCCCUGGAUACCUAGGGCUGGCCCCUUCAGGGCACUCAGAAGUCACGAGCUGCAACUCGCAACACCAUCGCCGAUCAGCCCUCGUCUCGUUCCUCCGCAACCAUCAGCACGCUCGCUCUCAUGGCGCAGAGCUCUUCCUCGGCAUUGCACGACCAGAUCAGUUUUGAUCUCGAGCGCCGCAGGAUAUGUGUCCUUCGCGUCGGAGAGAGUUGCAAGGAAGUCCUCCGCGUCGUCUUCGCCGUCGCCACGCCAAUCGGUGCUGAUCUCUUCCAUGUCCAACGACACCGUCGCCAUGAAUCGGCCCAACACUACGAAGGAAGAGGUAGCAAACAAGCGCUAUGCUCCGAUGCGGCCCCAGCCACAGCCGCACCGGCCCGCCACCACCAAUGCUGCCGGCAAGAAGAUCUACUACUUGGACAUGGGAGAAGCUCCGAUGAGGCGACCGGUUCCGCGGACGAUGAGGAUCCUGACCUCGUCCACCGUGAAGGUUUCUGACGUAGCGAGCGGGGGAGUUCCCGAGAAGUCCUCCGCCCCUCUGCCACCGUGUCGAUCCGCGCUGAUCCCUGCCAUCUCAAACGGCGCCGCCGCAGUUAAGCCGGCAAACGCUGCGAAGGAAGCAGUUGGAAAGAAACGCUCUGCCCCACCGCCGCCGUCGCCGCCACGCCAAUCCGCGCUUGUGCCGCUCGCGACGAUCAAUGCUGCCGGCAAGAAGAUCGCUUACACGGAGCUGGGAGAAGCUAAGAGGAGAAGGUUUCAAGCGAGAUUAGCAUGUAUGAUGAAUUGCAUUAGGUUGCACUUGUGGCUGGUUACAUUCACUAAGGCCAGUACUUCUAUAUGAGUACUGAACUAGCGAAAAAUAAUAUUUUCUUCUAAUAGACUAGUAAACGUGUACGUGCAAUGCACGUCUAUUAUCACCCAACCCAUAGGAAAAUAGACUGAUAUCCCUUAAUCAUGUUUGAGAGUUGUACCAAGGCAUCUAGACAUCUAACAACAUUACAUAAUAAACAACACAUACUUAUCCUCAUCAAAAAAGUUAAAUCAGUAGAAGACCCUCCUUAACAUAUAUUUAAAAGAAAGAAUAUUCACAUUACAUGUGUCAACAAUUCUAUAUGAAAGCAAUGUUAAUUAGCAUGAAAGAUUUAAUUAUGUGAGUUUAUUUAAGAAGGCACAACAUAGUCUCCUAUAUAACCCCAAUGCCAAUCCUAUUGAAUAAAAAUGAUGAUAACUCAUAGUUAUACGGAAAUGCCUAUUGGAGCUCUUUGUUUUUGAAAAAUUCAAAAUUCAAAAUUUCUGUUUCAAAAAAAUCUAAAAAAAUAUGCAAGUAUACAAGGAUGAAAUGUAUAUGUGUGCAAAAAUUCAGUAUGAAAUACCUUAAGAUUCGAUCUGUGCAAAAAGAACAAAUUUAUGAACUUUUGGUAUGAAUAGUAUCAUGUGUUAAAAAAAUCAAAAAAUUGUCUUUUUUACACAGACCUCGUUUCAACGUAUUUUGUUCUAAAAAAUUCCACACGUGUGUGUUAUGCCUUCAUGUAUAUUCAUAUAUUUUUGAAAUGUAAAAAUAUGAAUUUUGAUGAAUUUUGAGAUUUUCAAAAACAGGGCUCCAUGGAGCCCGUGCUCCAAAACGCCCCACUCAUAGUUAUACACUUAGGGUGUGUUUGGCAGCUGUUCUCACCCUAGCAUAGUUGUUCCCUGUUGAUGCAUGCUAAGUAUAGACAUGAUAAAUACAUUCAUCUUCAGUUGUUUGAUGGUCAUGUAUGUGUUGUGACAUGUUUGGAUGAGACUGUGUUUGGUAGGAAGAGGGAGGAGGAAGAGGUGCAUUGCGAGGGAGGAAGAGAAGGGAGGUGAAGGAACGGGGGGAGGGGGCGGAGGCGGCGACGGGGCUCGGAAGGCUCCUCCACCACCGUGACCUCGACCGGAUCCGUAGCCCCACGCUGCCUAGCGACCGGAUCCGUAGCCCCACGCNNNNNNNNNNNNNNNNNNNNNNNNNNNNNNNNNNNNNNNNNNNNNNNNNNNNNNNNNNNNNNNNNNNNNNNNNNNNNNNNNNNNNNNNNNNNNNNNNNNNNNNNNNNNNNNNNNNNNNGAUCCGUAGCCCCACGCCGCGUCGCGACCCGAUCCAGAUGCAAAGAACGCCAUGCUGUGGAGAUCGAGGAGAAGGAGAGUGGGCGAGGCCGCGGGGGCUCGGGCGGGGCUCGAGCGAGGCCGCUGGAGCUCGGGCGAGGCGCAGCGGGGCUCGGACGAGGCCGUCGGAGCUCGAGCGAGGCCGCCGGAGCUCGGACGAGGCGCGCGCGGGGGGGGGGGNNNNNNNNNNNNNNNNNNNNNNNNNNNNNNNNNNNNNNNNNNNNNNNNNNNNNNNNNNNNNNNNNNNNNNNNNNNNNNNNNNNNNNNNNNNNNNNNNNNNNNGGGGGGGGGGGGGGGGCUCGGGCGAGGCUGCCGGAGCUCGGGAGGGGCGCGGGAGGGCGAGGGUGAGGCAGCCAGGGAGCGACGGGGUGAGGGCGAGGCGGGGCGAGGGGGCAUGGGCUCAGCAUAGCUCUCCUCAGCUCGCCUCCGAGGGGGUGCUGGGCUCAGCUAUGCUGAGGCCCUUUUUUGCAUCAGUUGAUGCAUGCUCUCCUCAGCCCAUACACCCUACCAAACAGCGAAAAGUGGGUCGGGUAGGAACUUUUGGGCUCAUACACUCUCCAUGCAGGCUACCAAACACGCCCUUAUACUACCUUCAGCUACCAACUUGUCCUAUCCUCAUUUUUAGUUACGACUGCCCCUGUCCUAUUUUUUUACCGGAAGCCUAUUGUCUAUCAUUCCACAAGAUGGCAAAACUUCACGAUUUUUUUAGUACAACCAUAUUUUAUUUUUCUUCAAAGACUAUACUUCACAAACAAUUUCUUUAAAAAGUACAUAAUACUUCUAGGAAAUUGCAGGUAAAUCCAAAGUUCGUAAUUAUUAGCUUACACAUAAAAAUGAUACAAAGUUAACAAAUAACUUUUCUAUCCAAAUAUAUGGAUCAACUAAUGAAAAUAUUACUACACAUUGUUAUUCAUCUUGCUAUUCAUGAUGUCAAUCAAAUAUUUUUAUAUGUGGUGACGUAAUCCCCAGUUUUUUACACAUGCUGAUAGCCCCUAAUCAUCAUCUUGAUUACUUUACACAAACAACAUGGAUAACGACUUGGAUUUCAAAUUAUAAAUAUCAUCUAUAAUACAAUGCGAACAAAUACAGUGUACUGUAUAUGAAUAUUCAAUGAAAGGAUAUACUUGUAUACUUAAAGCAACAUGCGUUAUUGCUGGUACCACAACAAUUACUCGCUCUUCACAUCCUAUGUCAUGCAUAGUAAAUAAAUAAUGUUUGGCGCUAGCUUGUAUUCAAGUACAAUAUGAUUGAUCUUCCAGUUUUCUUCAAUUAUAAUCUAGACCGACUAAACCUCAAGUACUGAUAGGUAAUUGGUACAACCGUAAUCAACGAGGGAGGAACCAUCAGGCUAGCUGAGGUCGUCUGCUCAUGGAGAUUGAUAAUCACCCUUCCGUUCCCGAUGACCCCCCUUCUUCACCAUUGCGACGAACUCCCCAUAGUCGAUUUGGACAUCUUGAUCAAUGUAUUACCCCCUCCGUCCGGAAAAGCUUGUCCGACGCUUAGUUCAUUUGUAGUUUUCCAAAAACAACCUUGUGAUUUAAAAUCCCUUCCUAAUCAACCACCCCACCCCCUCUCUACUUCUUCUUCCUUUUAGCUUCGCCCCCAGCAGGAACCAACUCCGUCCACCGCCGGCAGCUAUCGUAGAGCCCAACGUGCCGCCGCCGACAUGCGCCGCCCAUGCGCCUUGCCUUGCCGUCUCUGCGAAUAACACCCCCCGCCCCCUCUAUUUUGUCCUCCUCCCCAUCCCCAUCCCCUUCCCCGAUGAUCUCGGACAUGUAGUUGCGGCGGUGGAGCCGUGGGACCCGUCGGCCCACUCCGUCAUCAAUUCUGACGACCCAGAGUGGUUCUUUGCCGCCGCGUCCGCCCAAAGUACCCCGGGCAGCCGCUGCUCCUUCCCCGCUGCCGCCCACUCCGGUACAAGAGUUGGGAAAGUCCCCAGCCAGGGUGCAGCAACUGGUGUUCAGGGUGCUUGCGGCUCCUUCCCCGUCGCUGGUGGAAUCGCCACCAAGCCCGAGCUGGUCACCGCGCUGGUGGAAUCGCCACUGCUGGUCACCGAGCUCCUUCCCCGCGCCCCCGCCACUGUUUCUGUUGCUCCUGCAAAUUUGUUAUGGUAGUUACUCCUUUCAAUGGCACAAUGUUAAUUGGUCAUGAUCUACCAGUUUUUGGAAACAAUCGCNNNNNNNNNNNNNNNNNNNNNNNNNNNNNNNNNNNNNNNNNNNNNNNNNNNNNNNNNNNNNNNNNNNNNNNNNNNNNNNNNNNNNNNNNNNNNNNNNNNNNNNNNNNNNNNNNNNNNNNNNNNNNNNNNNNNNNNNNNNNNNNNNNNNNNNNNNNNNNNNNNNNNNNNNNNNNNNNNNNNNNNNNNNNNNNNNNNNNNNNNNNNNNNAAUUUUUGGAAACAAUCAUUAUUUUUGGACUGGAUCUUUGCACUAUAAUAUUGGAAACAAUCAGACGAUUUUGGAAACAAUCAAUUACUCCAUAUUUUUCAAUGAUAUUGGAUACAAUCAGAAUUCUCCAAAGUGAAAAUCAAUCCCUCGACAUAAUUAAGGUGCAAACAUCAGUGCAAUUCUGAGAGAAGUUAAAAGUGCUCGCCAUAGGUGUGCCUUGGAGAUGAAUUCUCACAUUGAUUUUGUGUUGCGCUGAUAUAGGAACAACAAUGGUUGCGCCAGAAUCUGCAACCACAUCUGGCUCAUUGUCCUGCAAAUGAAGAAUUGAGUCAGUUUAUUAUCUGUGAAACAAGAUGCACAAUUGAUCAAUAAUUAUCCUUAGGCUUGUUGUGAACAUACAUGAGCCAUAGCACAACAGUCCCCCACAUAAGCAGCAAGGAUUAGAGCAAACAAUCUUGAACACCAUGUCAAUAAACUGAAAAUGUUCAAGAUACUGCAGUAAACAGGAAAUGUUCAAGGUACUACAAUAAACUGAAUCAACGUCAUUUUCUCAAUGUUGUUUCAAGCAGACAAAGGAGUUUCAAGUAAACUGAAACGUUCAAGGUAAUGCAGUAAACUGAAUCAACAACAACUACUCCCAAUUCAGAAUUUUGACAGUAAGAGAAGGAAAAAAAUUAAGUGUGUAAAUAAGAUUGAAGAAUAAGAAUAAGAACAGGGGCUUGAGGAUGUUUCAGUUAUCUAAGUGAGGAACUGCGAAUUUAUUAUGGUAGAUACUCCCAAGUCCCAACUCUGAAUUUUGGUUGGCGAUCUCUUUCCAACUGACAAACAGUACUUGAAAGAGCACUGCCAUCUGCUCCCCUGCCAGCCUACCAUUGCACUCCUACUUCUCUCCCUCUCUCCCUCUCUCUCUCUCUCUCUAACUUGUUGCUGCUAGCUUCAGCAAAUUGUUGGUACUAUACAUGAAAUUCUGUAGUGAUCAGCUUGAUUAGAUAAUAAUAGUGAUCAGUUUGAUUUUAUUCCAGUAAUGAUCAGCCGAAGUAUCACUGUUCUCAGUGGCCUCAGAUCUUUUUCCUACUCAGAUCAAAUGAUUCAGUUAGAGCAAACAAGAAUCUUGCUAAUAAUCCUUAACAAGAUAAUCUUUAGUAAGACAAUAAUCUUUAGCACUUGAAAACUGUUUGCAGCAAACAAAAAAAUCUUGGAAAGUGUCCAAAAAAUUUCAGUCGGAGAGGCAUGCUCUUUUAAAAAACACCAUGAAUCCAAAAUCUAGGAGACACAUUUUGUCUAAAACAUUCUGAAUUUCUACACUGAACAUUUCUGAAUUACUAAUUCAGUAUGAACAUGUCACAACAUUUCUGAACAUUUACACGGUCACAACCUUUCUGAACAUUUACACAGUUCGCAACAUUUACAACAUUUCGAAAUUAAUGUUAGGAAAGAAGGGCAAAUGCCCUUCAAAAGGUCUCCUCCCUCCAGGUAUCUGAGUCCAUUUUAAAUGACGCUGCAACACUGACAAAACUAUAUUAAUAUCCUGCGCUAUGCUUGAAAAUAAGUUGGUGUGCCAAGAAACAGGAAGAGGUUUUACCUUCAACACCAGAAUGCUGGAGGAACAGGUUUGAAUCAUUUACGGCACUGUCAAGCUGUAAUCUUUUUCUUAUUCCAUAUUUCUAUUUAACCAUCAACCAAGUUACCCUACCAAGAUGAAGUGACAAAAUUGUACAGUUGUUGAGCAUCAAUAUAUGCUAUACGGAAAUUAUAGGUCCUACUGAUGACUGAAAGAUAUCAUACAGUGCAACCUGAACCUCUCUAGAUCUAUGCUCGCAGCGAACGAGAUUAGCUAAUAAGGGGAAAAAGAGGGGCAAAUUCCUCAUAAAGCAGUCCCUCUCUAGACCACCAAGCAACUUAAUGAUUCCCUGGAGAGAAGCCACAGAAUGGUGAGUGUGAUCUUAUUGGCAUGUCGAACACAAAUCAUGAAGACAAACUUGUUGUAAUUUCUUUGUUGUAAUUCCUAUUUUAUUUGGGUGUGCAAAGCAAAGCAGAGUAUUGAACAAAAUUUACAAAGAAAGACAUGAUAUACAAACGAUCAGCAUCAAAUUAAACUGGCACAAGGUUUGAAGUACCUGAACAAUUAAGAGUUGCAGAGACAUAUGGUUCUUCAUCUUGACAAUAGCAUAAGACGAUGUUUACACAUUAGCUUCCUCUUCAUCCUCAUUGUAUAUUUCAGGGUAUGAAUAUUUCUCUGCUUCACAGUAAGACUCGUUUCUUUCUGGAAUUUCAAUAUUUUGCAUCAUCUUAACUAUUUUUCGAAAACAACCAAUGUGUGUGCUGCUGAUUCUUUAAAGCAUAAUAAGAUCUCUUUCCAUUCGUCCUUAGAGAGUUUGCUUGCAAGCCCUUCUGUUAAACGCUGAAAAACAGGCAUACCAGUGCUAGCAGUUUGUCUACAAGCGCUUCUGAUAAAACUGGUAACAACAGAGGUAACUCUAGUGAGUUCUGGCUGCAUUACAUCAAAAAAUGUAACAUACAGAUCCGCUAAACAUUUCACAGCCACUGCUUUAGUUUCAAAAUUCCACGAAUUGUCCUCAGUGCUAUCACUUUGACCAUUGGCUGUACAGAUUUCACCAUUAAAUAGAGGAUAAAUAACAUAUCCAAAGAAAUUGGUCCAAAAGUUCUGAGAGAACAGUUCUCCAUGGUCCUUCAAAAUGUCAAAGAGUACUUCUACUGCACCUUUUCUAUAGCAAAUCAUUGAUCAGGAAACAUCAUGACCUAUUCCAAAAUUCUGAACUUUGGAGUAAAAAGUUACAGUAAUGAACAUGUUACAGUAAGGAACACACACUGAACCUACAGUCCCAAAUUCGUGUGCCUUUCAUUGAUUCUGGAAAAAAAGGAGGAGAUUGCAGCUUCACCUGAGCACGAAUCAUGGACGGGCCGAAGCUCCGGCCGUUGGCAGCCGUGGGGAAGAACGAGGCGGUCGCUGUGCGUAGGCGCCGGCUUUGCUCUACUCUGGCUAUCACGGCCGCUGUGUCCGUUGGAGAAGCAGGGGAUGACGAAGAUGCAGAGAGCCCAGGAGGCCAACAAAGGCGACGACGUUGGUUGACCCCGAGCACCUCCAGCCGCGAGGGAGGAGAGCUCCCUCGAUCCCGUCACCUCUGCGCCCGAGCUCCACCUCGCACCGAUGGCCGGCGAGCCUCCGGCGAACAGCAGCAGCAUGACCACCGUCGCACCUCACCGUUCUCUUCUCCCUCCCUCCAGCCUCCCAUCUCCUUCCUCCCUUUCUUUCCCUUCCUCCCUUUCUCUCGCGCCAUUGUCCACCUAAUCUGCCGAGAUCCAGCAGGUCCUCGUCGACCGCGCCACCGCAAGCCGUGUAAGGCCGCCGCAGGUCGAGUCUGCGUCGUGGGCAACACCCUGGCCAGCUCCGUCCGCCCCCCAUGCGCCCGGCCGUCCGCGUCGUCGCGCCGCCCUGCCUGCUGGCCUCCCGCCGGCCGUCCGCUUCGGCACGCCCGGCCACGCUCCGGUCGUCCGCUUCGCCAUGCCCGGCCAUGCUCCGGCCCUCUCAGCCAUGCCCAGGCCACACGGUUCAUGGGGGAGGCGCUGGGGGAAGGCGGCACGGGUGGAGGGGUUGGCGGAGGGGCAAGCGUCGGGGCCGAGCGGCGCGUCCGGCAGAGGGGCGGGCGGCGGGCAGCGAGGGCGGAGGGGCGAGCGGUGCGGGCGUGGGCAGCGUGGGCGGUUGAGAGUCUUGAGAGGGAGCGUGAUUAUUAGACGAAGCUACGUUACGUUAGCGAACCUAUUUCGUUAACAGACUAUUUCGUUAACGAUGAUUCAUGACCAUUAGAUUAGUAAUCCAACAACUAAUAUUCUUAGUUGGAUCUGCCUUCUCGUGCCUUUUAUAGUACAGAUAAGCUACUUUCGAUGUCCACAAGUAAACAAAUAAUAAUUUAUCCUAUACUUUUUAAUAAUCACGUUACUCAACACCCCCUCCCCCGUCACAACAAUAACAACGCAGACGGUGAGACUCGAGAAUAUUGCGAAGCUAAGCGGACGGUCAUCCCCACAGUCGUAACGGUCGAUGCAUCACGGAAGUUGUGGCUGGAGUGAAAAAUCGACGAGGUUGCUCAAGCAAGGAGGCCCUUUGUCCUGAUGUCGAGGUAGCCGAGAGAGUAGGAUGGUGUAGCCUUAGUCAAGGUAGCCAUGCGAAGAACGCGGUGAUCGAUGUCGAGGAAGUCGUUGUGGAGCCGCGGACGCAUGGAGCCACCGAGUUAGUCAUGAACACAAUGGUGUUGAAGUAAUGGUGAGCCGGAAUGAAGACGUAGUUGAUGACACGUCGCGGUGGGUUUGCCAAGAUCGGGGACACUUCAUGGACAAGGCACACAUCGGUGUUUCCAGCACCGGGCAUGUGUAGACGGAUGAAGGCGAUGUUGACGAUGCGUCGUUCCAGUUUUGCCACCGGGGACAAACGCACGCGUUGGUGUUGUCAGCACCGGGCAUGCAUAGAUGGGGACUUGCACAAACUGGUACACCAUGUCGAGAAGGCUAGAAGAGAAGGACUCGUCGACGAUUGCGGUGCAAAUCGGCGAGGGCCUUGCACAAACUGGUACACCAUAGGGUGGUGUAGCCUUAGUCGAGGUAGCCACGCGAAGAACGCGGUGAUCGAUGUCGAGGUAGUUGUCAUGGAGCCGCGGGCGCAAGGAGGCGCUGAGUUAGUCAUGAGCACAAUGGUGUUGAAGUAGCGGUGAGCCGGAAUGAAGAUGUAGUUGACGACGCGUCGUGGUGGGUUUGCCAUGACCGGGGACACUUCGUGGACAAGGCAAACAUCGGUGUUUCCAGCACCGGGCAUGUGUAGGCGGAUGAAGGUGAUGUUCACGAUGCGUCGUUCCAGUUUUGCCAGGACUAAGAACACACUCGGACAAAGGCACACGUUGGUUUUGUCAGCACCAGACAUGCAUAGAUGGGGACUUGCACAAACUGGUACACCAUGUUGAGAAGGCUAGUAGAGAAGGACUCGUCGACGAUUGCGGCGCAAAUCGGCGAGGGUGGGGAUGUCGCUCGCAGUGGUCGGAGUAGAUGAAAUAGUCGGGGUGGACGACGUCGACGCUAGUGAUGAGCUAGCGUUGGACGGAAAUGAAGGGGAUGGACGGGCGGCACAACUCGGGUGAGCGAGCUACAUCAACGCCGAAGAAGAGAGGCGGUCGUGGCUUGACUGCGGCGGCCUAUGUUGGUUAGGAGCGCAGCGACAAUGCUUGAAGUAGACGAGGAAGAACCCGACAAUGUGACAAAGACUCGCACACACGAUGGUAUUCCCGUGCGGAGGGAGGAGGCGUGACGCAUACCACAAGAAGUCGAUGCGCGGGGGACUGAAUCUCCAACGUUUCUAUGAUUUUUGAUUUUUCCAUGCUAUAAUAUUAUAAUUUUAAGAUACUUUUUGGGCAUUUAUUUGCCAAUUCAUAUUAAUUUUGACCACUAACCUAUUAACCCAGUGACAAGUGCUAGUUGCUGUUUUCUGCAGGUUUUGGGCUUUUUAGGUUUACAGUACCAAACGGAGUCCGAAUAGAAUUGCAACUUUUGGACGAUUAUUUCUGUACAAAAAGAAGACCUCGAAGGUUCAGGAGAAGGCCAGAGGAGACACGAGGGCCCCACGAGCCAAUAGAGUGUGCCACGGGGGGUGGUCGUGCCCUCUUAGAUCAGCCCCCCGGUGUCUCUCCCGAACUCGUUCUCUGGUUGAUGAAUUCUCAUAUUCCCCCAAAACCCUAGUGGAGCUCCCGAAACACCUUUUUCGCUGUCGCAAGCCGCUGUUCCGCCGUGUGCCCAUAUGGAGCCGUGUUCCAAUGCCUUGCCGGAGAGGGGAUCGAUGACAGAGGGUCUUUACAUCAUGCUUGCUGCUCCCAUGGUGAUGUGUUAGUAGUCUACCAUAGAUCUCUCUAUUCUUCAAUACAAAGUUCACCGCAUCUUCGCGAUGAUCUAUUCGAUAUAAUCACUUUGUGUGGUGCGUUUGUUGGGAUCCGAUUAAUUGGGGAUUUAUGUUCAUAUUAUUCAUGAUAAAAGAUUUGAUUAUUGUUUGCAUGAUUAUUAUAGCUUCGUAAAUUUCUUAGAUCUAUUGAUUUGGUUUGGCCAAUUAGAUUAAUCUUUCUUCAGUGAGAGGGGUGCGUUGUGAUGUGUUCAAUCUGGUGGUGCUCUAUAUCCCAGUGAUAGAAAGGGACAAUACACGUCUUUGUAUUGUUGCCACUAAGGAUAAAACGAUGGGUUAAUUUGUAUUAAUUGGAUUCUCUUUUUCUACAUCAUGUCAUUGUUCUCUAAGCAUUCUCACAUUUUACUUCAUACUCUAGAUGCAUGUUGGAUAGCGGUCUAUAGGUGGAGUAAUAGUAAUAGGUGCAGGAAGGAUUCAGCCUAUUUGCUUAUGGACGUGAUGCCUAUAUGCACAUGAUUAUUGCCUUGAAUAAAUAUUGCACAACUAUACAAUUUCUAUCAAUUGCCCAAUAGUAAUUCGUUUAUCCAUCGUAUGCCUACUUUAAGAGAGAUGCCACUAGAGAACUCUAUGGCCCCGUGGUCUAUUCACUUAUAAAUUUACAAACGCUAUAAUUUCCUUGUUGUCUUUAUUUAUUUUUUACUUAUUUUGUAAUUUAGAUUUAUGAACAGACAUCUAGACACUUCAUUUGCUUGCAACUAACGAGUCCAAGGGCAUCGACAACCCUCUUGCCCGUGUUGGAUGCAAUUGUUUGGUUAUUUGUGUGCAGUCGCUGAAGAUGGGGGUUGCGUGCUACUCCUAUUGGGUCAAUAACUUUGUUCUCACCGAGGGAAAUACUUAUCUAUAUUGUAUUGCAUCAUCUGUUCAUCUUCACAGAAAACCCAACAUAGAUCACAAGUACCAGGGACGGCGGUGUGGACCGUGCGUCGUGGUGCUACUGCAUGAAGGGGCGACGAAACAAUAGUGCGCGGGUCGGGGCGACAGCAGGAAGACCUUGGGGGCGGCAGCAGGGACCGUGUUCCGCAGCAUGACGGCCCGACGUGGCGGCGUAGCAGCGAUGCGUGGGUCGGUGCAGCCUCAAGAACGACCUCGGGCGGCGGUGGGGAACGUGUGUUCCAGCACUACAACCCGAAAAGGCGGUGUAGUGGCGGCUCGUGGGUCGCGGGGACCGCUUUACAUGGCACUACGACCCGAAGGGGGCAUGUUAUGGCAAUGCGCGAGUCGGUGCAGCGAUAGGAAGAACCAUGAGGCUGCAGCGCUUCAGCCCCACGGGGCGACAUAGGAGCAGCCCAAUGCUCGAUCGAUGGAGGGGCGCGCAGUACUCGUAACAGUCUUCACAGGACUUGCAAAGGCGCGCACAACCGACAGGCUAGAUCGGUCGCACAAUAUAGAUGCGGCUGGUCGUGGGUGGGAGGAUGAUCAAUCCGAUCGCGUGCAAGGUCAGGGACAUCACUCAGUGGAGGUGAGGUGGCAGCAUCUGAGAUUAAGACGACGAUGAUGGUCGUGGCCAGAGCCGGUAGUCGGCCUGACGAGCCCGAUGUGGCAUGAGAGGGCGAGGACGACAUAGAUGACGCCCGCAUAACCAGAUGCGGUCGAACCGGUGAGCCUAGGGCAGCCGAAGCCGGUGAACCCGACAUCCACCGAUGGGGCGGACGAGGAGAAGGUUGGGCACUCGUACACACUAAAAGCACAUAUGCUCCCUUGGUGUUUUUGAUAAUUCAUGAGAACAUACAUUGUCUCUUGGACUAAUACUUAGUUCAGAUAUAGUCCACACAGAGGAUUGUCUAAGGAUUGUGAGGAGAAGCCCCAAGGAAGGAAAGGAAUAGGAUAGGCCAAACUUCAAGCUUCAAGACUCUACAUUAUGUAUUAUGUGAGAAAUCACACUUGAGUCCAUAGGAAAGCCAAUACUAUUAAAAGGGGAUGAGGUGACUAUGAUGAUCUGGUUGCUCAAGUGCUUAGAUUUAGCCACAAAAAAUACUCGUGAAUUCUCCCACAAAUAUUCUGUCCAAAAUCCUAAAUAUCCGUAAUUUGGUGCCACAAAUUUUUCAAUUAUGCCCUACCGAUUUUUACCUGAGACAGAUCCUAUGCCAAACCCUAGUUUCUCGGUGACACCAAGUCUUGUUUCGGUCAGACCGAGAAUCAUUGACUAACUCUCUGUCUACCUGUUUCUAGGAAUUGGAAUUUCCGAGUUUUGGGAAUUGGUGCUACCGAAUCUGGUAACUGUCGACGCUAGCCAAUAUUGGACCCACCAAGAUCUAUAUAUCGGUCUCACCGAAACGCCGAAAGUUGCCACAUUUUGCAAUAGUCGGUGCAACUAAGUUUUAAUUCGGUUUGACCGAGUUGGGCAAUAAUGUUGUUACUGUCGGAUUUUUGGAGAUGCCUAUAUAUACCCCUCCACUACGUCUCAUUCAUAGAGGAAGCACACAGAACAUACAAACACUUGCCCCAUCUAUUUUUCUGAGAGAGAGCCACCUAAUCAUGUGUUCAGAUCAAGAUAUUCCAAUCCUACCAUAUGAAUCUGUUGGAAAUAUGCCCNNNNNNNNNNNNNNNNNNNNNNNNNNNNNNNNNNNNNNNNNNNNNNNNNNNNNNNNNNNNNNNNNNNNNNNNNNNNNNNNNNNNNNNNNNNNNNNNNNNNCGGGUGUUCACCGGGGGGGGGGGGCAGCCCACCCCGGGAAGCCCAUAGGCCUUGGGGGUGGCGCACCAGCCUUUGGUGGGCUGGUGGGACAGCCCAAGAUGGCCCUAUGCGCCAUAGAUAGAAAAUCAAAGAGAAAAGAAAAAAAAGGAGGUGGGAAAGGAGAGAAGGACUCCACCUUCCAAUCCUAGUUGGACUAGGAUUGGAGGAGGACUCCUCCUCCCUUGGUGGCGCAGCCCUUGGGGCUCCUUGAGCCUCAAGGAAAGCCUCCCCUCCCCUCCUCCUAUAUAUAUGGAGCUAUUAGGGCUGAUUUGAGACAACUUUGCCACGGCAGCCCGACCACAUACCUCCACGGUUUUUCCUCUAUAUCGCGUUUCCGCGGAGCUCGGGCGGAGCCCUGCUUAGAUUAGAUCACCACCAACCUCCAGAGCGCCGUCACGCUGCCGGAGAACUCAUCUACCUCUCCGUCUCUCUUGCUGGAUCAAGAAGGCCGACAUCAUCAUCGAGCUGUACGUGUGCUGAACACGGAGGUGCCGUCCGUUCGGCACUAGAUCGUGGGACUGAUCGCGGGAUUGUUCGCGGGACGGUUCGUGGGACGGUUCGCGGGGCGGAUCGAGGGACGUGAGGACGUUCCACUACAUCAACUGCGUUUCUUAACGCUUCUGCUGUACGAUCUACAAGGGUACGUAGAUCGAAAAUCCCCUCUCGUAGAUGGACAUCACCAUGAUAGGUCUUCGUGCGCGUAGGAAAUUUUUUGUUUCCCAUGCUACGUUCCCCAACAGAAUCUUCAUUUCUAGCCUCCCCAAGUUUCUUUCUACCCAAUCAAACUCUUCUACCCAAACCAAAUCUGUGAGAGAGUGAUUGAGUGUCGAGGAGACUAUCUUUUGAAGGACGAGAGCAAGGAGUUCAUAAUACUACCACAUCCAUUACCUUUUGGAGAGUGGUGUCUGCUAGAUUGAUUAGGUGUCACUUGGGAUCCUCCUACUUCGCAUUGUGGAGUUGAACCAAAAAAAUUGUAAGGGGAAGGAGAUCACCUACUUCAUCAAGAUUUACCCCGGGUGAGGCUAGUCCUUCGUGGACGUAAGGCAUGGUGGAAUAGACUGUGUUUCUGCUUCGUGGACCACUUGUGCGUGGAGCACUCCAUGGACUCGCCCAACCGUUACCCUAUGUGGGUUGAAGUCUCCAUCAACAUGGACGUAUGAUAGCACCACCUAUCGGAACCAGGCCAAAAUAUUCAUGUCAAUAUUUGCGUUUGAUCUUCCUAAACUCUACUCCUUACUUUACAUGUGCAUAUCUUUACUUUCUGCUGCUACACUCGUAGACUUGCAUCUGUAGAGUGUGUUUGACUUUCUAUAAAUGGUAAAAUCUGCCAACCAUUAAAAUUGGGAAAGGCUAGGUUUUAUUUUGUCAAGUAGUCUAUUCACCCCCCCUCUAGACACCCCUUCUAGUGAACCCACGAUUGGUAUCAGAGCCUUGGGCUCCAUAGCCGUGGUUUAAUCACCAUUGGAGGAAGAUGGAUGUGUAUACUUUGGGGAAUCCUAGUUGUAGAGUGUCUAUUCUCAGUGGAGAGUACUAUAGUCAAUGGAAAAGUGAAAUGCUUGAUAUAUUUGAUGAAUUACAUUUUGAGUAAGUAUGUGGAAAACACCUAUGUGCCUCUCAUUGAUCCCUUACAUCCUUCUCAUGAGAAGAAGUUAAUAUGAUUUGUAAUCUUAAAACUGUUAAUCUUAUCAUUCUAAGAUUUCCAAGAAUUGUGCUUAACCAAAUGAAGAACUUUGAGUGUUCUUAUAGUUUGUCGAAAGAUUUGGAGAAAAGAUAUGCCGACUACUCCUUGAAAAAUCUUGAUAUCACUUUCCAAAAUUCUAUUGUCUUUCACAAAAUGAAGCCAAAUGAUCCAAACUGUCAUAAUCAUAUAUUUGAGCUUCAUGACCUCAUGCGUGCUAAAGGAGAUGUCAUUACCAUCAAUAACAUCAUUGUUGAAUCCAUUCGCAUUCAUAAACUUGAAGAUUGUUAUGCUCAAUAUUCUAAGCAAUCUCUUGAUUCUUGUGGCGAGGAUAUUCCAUUCGACAAUAACAAUGUGGAGCAUGGCUACUAUGAUGAAGACGAGAAGUUUGACAUCGAAUAUGAGAAGACCACGAGGAUCCUAAGUCUAGUGGCAAACCUUAGAGACUACACGGAAGGAGGAAACGAGUGGAUUCUCGACAGUGGGUGCACUAAUCACAUGAUCAGGGAUAGAGACACGUUUCAAGAGAUCACACCAAACCAUGGACCAGGAAGGUACGUGACUUUUGGAGACAACUCCAAGGUAAGUUACUUGGUCUUGGUAAGGUGGACAUAUUUCAUGAUAGUUCCAUUCAGAAUGUCAUGCUUGUUGAAUCUCUUGGCUACAAUCUUCUUUCCGUAUCUAGACUAGCGAACUUUGGUUUCAAUGUGCUAUUUACGAAAGUUGAUUGCCAAGUGUUUCAUGAAGAUAAUUAUAACAUGGUCUUUAACGGUUUUCGUAGAGGUGAUCCAUACAUUGUCGAUUUCACUAGAAAGUACAAACAUCGUACAUCUCUUAUUGCAAAAUCUUCUAAAGGUUGGUUAUGGCAUAGAAGGCUAGGACAUGUUGGAAUGCAUAAUCUAGACAAGCUUAUCAAAGGUGAUCAUAUUCUUGGUGUUAAAUAUGUUAUCUUGACAAAGAUAGACUUUGUAGUGCUUGUCAAGGAGGGACACAAGUUGGUGGAAGUCAUCCCGUGAAGAAUAUCAUGACUGCUAGAAGGCUCGAGCUACUGCACAUGGAUCUCUUUGGUCCCAAUGCUUACAAGAGCAUCCAUGGAAAUUCUUUUGGUCUAGUUAUAGUUGAUGAUUUUUCCAGAUUUAUGCGGGUAUUCUUUCUUGAUGAGAAGUCGCAGGUAUAAAAAAUAUUCAAGAACUUAGAUUGGAAAGCCCCAAAUCACUUUAAAGUGAAGAUCAAGAAAGUUCAGAGCGACAUCAGAUGGACUUUAAGAACACAAAUGCGGAUGCUUUACUUGAUGAAGAAGGCAUCUCACAUGCGUUCUCGGCGACAUACACACCUCAACAAAAUGGAGUUGUUGAGUGGAAGAACCGGACUCUCAUGGAGAUGGCUAGAACGAUGCUCGACGAAUACUAGAUGCCAAUACACUUUUGGGCAGAAGUCGCGAAAACAACUUGCCAUGCCACAAACUGACUCUACCUACACAAGCUUCUCGGUAAAAGGACAUACAAGCUACUUACCGGUAACAAACCCCAAGUUGGAUAUUUUUGGGUAUUUGACUCAAAGUGCUACAACAACUUCACUCAAACAGUUACGGAUAAAACUCUCAUACUUACCUGUCUACAACAACUUCACUCGAAUAAUUGAAUAGAUAGUAGAUGUGAAGUUUGAUGAAUCUAAUGGUUCGCAAGUCAAACAAUUGUCAAAUGAUGUAGGAGAUCAGGAACCUUCAGAAGCCAUUCAAGACCUAUCCAUCGGCAAGAUUCGUCCCAAGGAGGUGAAGGAUAGUACUUCAUCAACACACCUGGAAACUCCUACUUCGAGUCAAGACGAACCAGAAAAUGACAUGAAGGCAUCCACAAGCGGUACACGACAAGAAGAAGAGGAGGAAGAAGUACAUCAUGAUGAUCCACCUCAACCUUCUUCACCACCACCUUAAGGAGAAGACACCAUCAACGACAACGAAGAAUAAGACGGUGAUGAGGAAGCUCUACCAUCCAACAAGCAAAAGUUGUCAUGAGUUUGAGCACGAGUGAACAAGAAUCAUUCGCUAGAUCAAAUCUUCGGUGACAUACAAACCAGGAGAAUUACUCGCUAUAAAACUCGUUUAGUUAACUUUCAUGAGCAUUACUCAUUUAUCUCUAGCAUUGAUCCUAUGAAGGUAGACGAAGCACUUCAAGAACCGGAUUGGGUGAAUUCCAUGCACAAACACUACUAGGGAAAAGCUUACUAGUAGCACGGGUCUGUGGGCUAGCACUAGCACGGGUGCUCGCGCUACUACUAUGGCACUACAAGUAACUUUUCAGCAGUAGCGUGGUUCUUACCCAACGCUACUGCUACUUACACCUACGAGUAGCAUGCAUGUACGCAUCGCUACUGCUAAUUAUCUGUAGCGCGUCCUCGGGAACCAUGCUACUCAUAAGGCAGCACUUCUGGUACUCUAAUGCCCCACGCUGCUGCUAUGUUUUUCUUCUUUUUUAUUCUGUUGUAUUUGGAUUUUUACAGGUUUUAUACAAGUACAACAUACACAUACAUUGAAACUAUAUGAAAAAAGGAACAGUUAAUUAUCACAUGUUUCUUACAUUGUCACCGCACACACCUGUUUCAUUAUCUACCUAAAUUAUGACAUACGAGAGAAGAGCGAUCACGAUUAGCAACAACAGGAUUAUGUAGUAGUUUUUGCGGCGCCGGUUCUGAGUCCUUUGUUCCGCUAUGAAUAUCAAGUAACUAGCUUUAGCUUCCAUUCUGCUAUCAAACCCUUUCUUGCUUCCGCUCGGGAAGCGAUACACUUGGGCGUGACACUCUUGCCACUCAUCGUACACACCCGUAACAUGGCCUACAUACACGACAUACCACCUCGCCAUCGUUGAUCUAUAUACCUAUCACAGAUGCACAUAUAUCAUCAAGCGAAUUCAAUGAUAAUAUGCAGCAUAAGAUACGUCGGCGUGUGGAGAGAAACAUGUAUGAAAUAGAAGCAAUGUAUGGUAAACAUAGUUAACAAAAUUCACUGUACAGAAACUAAUUAACUAGAGCACGACACCGUUUACAUCUAAUAGUUUCGUCUUACUGAGAUAUUCAAAGUUUCAUUGUACAUAAAGUAACAACUAACUACAUAGACACAUUGUCUUCAUUAAGUGCACUCUAACCAUCUGUCCAUAUCCGGUAGGACGCAACCAAGCUUUGUGAAAGGCUUCAUGUCCUCACGCUAUAGGGCGAUUCGGGUUUGGACGUCAUCUCGUGAUAUUGGGCCGCCGUAGAACAUCCCAUUCUCUUCGAGGACAUCUUUCAUGAUGAUGGAGGAAAUUUCCUACUGGAUCAGGUAGAAAUCAUUUCGAAGUCGAUUAUCCGGCUAGGAUCCAAAGGCUUCGACCCAUUUCUGGAUAUGGGUAUCGGAUGAAGAUUUCAUGCAAAGUUAUUGCGCAUCCCUUUUGUACUCCAUCAUUAGAUGGAUGACAUAGAAUCCAUCAUUAUCACUUUUUGCUGGUCCUUGGAUGCAACAUCAGUUAGUCUUAUGGCCGAAACACAACCCGGCCUUAUUUGUUUUUUUACUUAGGUGUACCCACCCCGCAUGCUAAAGCCCAGGAGAGUUUUGUCCAGAACAUACUUUAUGUGUGCGUAAUCUUUCUUCUCUAUGUUCUUCCACGGUUCCAAAUAUAGAGCGCGGGAGAAAUCUGGUAAAGAACGAUGAGAACAACACGACACCCCCCCCCGCUGCGCAAAAUACACGAUCAAGUUGGCCUCCAUGCGUGCAAAGUAACUAUUGAAAUGCACGAAAGGAUGCAUGUGUUAUACUGGCUAUCCGCGGAUGACUUACCCGUGAUGAUAAGGUAGGAGAAUCGUUUCUUUGUCCUUAUUGACGAGCAAGAAUUCUUUGAUGUACUCCCUCGCAUAUCGACGGUUUGCUUCGUUGAUUUACAAGAAGUCCUCAUGCAUGUUGUAUGGGUCCGCAACCGCAAGACUAGUGGUUUUUUCUCUCCUCACGAUGUAGUUCAUGUGGAGCGCAUACAGGCGGACGAACGUAAAAUCGAGUGUCCCCAUUUGAAACAUCUGGAAGACGUAAUCAAAUCGCGGGAAGAAGAGCUUCGCGGGGCAUGUGUGUAUGCACAUGGCAAUGCUCGGCACAUGAACCGUAUAAAGUGGGUAUUCUCGAUCAUCCGAGGCGAGGAGGCUUCUCUCUGUCGACAACACAUGUUAAUGGAGUCUCGUGAGAUCCCCUGUUAUGGCAGCUAGCGCAUCCACUGGUACCAUGGGCUUUCCUGCGACAUGGAUCAAUGGCACAUGUUUCAUCGGCACACUGUCAACCCUAGUCUGUGGAGGCGGCUGGCUGCUAGAAGCAACAUUGGCAACUUUAUUGUAUUUUCCACGCGGUCUCUUCCUGCUUCUUCUUGGUUGGCUCAGGCGCUGGUGGGUUUGUCAGACUGUUAGGGCCAAUUUUUCUUGGAUUUUAAAUUCCCAUCAAAAUGACCCUUGUGCAUACCAGCACCAGAAAUACUGUUAGCUGGUGCAAAAUUCCUUGAUACAAAUAUCCAAGCAAAAUACAAAAUUUGAAGUACAAGACCAAGAUGGCCUAUGGUGUACAACAAAAAGGGGUUUCCAGAGGUUGAUGGCGGAAGCGGUUCUGGGAUCUCCAGCGUCUAUGGGACUCCAUUUCUCACAGGAACAACUGACCUGGAUAAUUCCUAUCUCAUGCGGCUGCUGUCUUCGGGGCCUAGGUUUCGGGACUGUCGUCGGGAUGCUCCUCUCCGAACACGCAAUCUGGCCAAGACAAUAGCCACGAGCAAGCCAGGGAGUACUUUGAAUGUACUUGCAAACAUCAUGAAAGCAAACAUAAAAUAGCAGGCGGUUAAUAUGCACUUGAAAUAAUUCAACGAUACUCCGUCAGUCAUAGUCCAACUUAUUUAGUGCAAGCACUACAAGAAAUAUGUUAAUACGUGAUGGUAGUAAUGCGCCACGGGUCAUGCGAAAACUGUCAUGGGUUGCCGUACAUGACAGAUUUGACAUCCGUCAUGUAUCACGCGUGACAAUUUCACAUCGGCCCGUACAUGACGGAUCUUGUCAGUCAAGGCUCCACCACAGGGCUUCCCAAGGCCCAAAUCUUCAUGACAGAACAAACCGUCAUGUAUCGACGCCACGUAGCAUUUCCAAUUAACUAACUAGAAUGACAUGGCGGCCUACGUGGACACUGAUUUUGUCAUAGAAAUCGUCAUGGAUAUUGGCAGAAUUGAAAUUUAGUUCAUCUCCCUAGCCUAUUUUAUUUAGCCCAGUUUUCAUGUACAUUUUUAAGAAUAAUGCAUUACACAAAUCGUAAUGCCAAUUUUGGCAAGAGAAGGUAUUAACUGUCAUACAUGCACAUAUGAAUCAAUAUAUUGUUAUCCGCACAUAUCUACAACAUAGCAGUUUACAAAAUCCUCUAUGAAAUGAUAAUUUACAACAUAUAUUAAUCAACAAAUUAGAAAACAACACAAUCUUUCACACAAACAAAACAUUUGAACUAUUCAACUUGUUUUCUUGCCAUCGGUCCUCGUGAUAGAAAUUAUCAUGUUGUGCUAAUUGUGAUGGGCAGCACCAAGUAUCCCGAUACGACAUCUUACCUAGCAUAUUUAAAUAAGAAAUAAAAGAAAAGAAACUUGUCAGACAAAGGGAUACAAUACAUACUGUUGUGCAGAAGAUUCAUUAAAUUAUUAUAUGUCGAGUUAUGAAGAUAAAUAAAUUAUCAUACAAUUAUAAUACAAGAUUCCUUCAAUUAUCAUACACACAAGAUCCAUUCAAUUAUCAUAUGUCCAAUGCACAAGAUAGCUAUGCGUUGAGAAACAAGGAGCUACUUCUACAGUUAUCUAGUAGUAUUAAGAAAUUGGAUAUACCCUCAAGAACAAUAUCCACAUAUUGUUGACACUUGACAAUUAACACUUAGAACAAAAAAGAUAUAUAGUGAAAAUAGAACCAACAGGCUAUGAAGGGGACAUUAAUGGAUCUAUGUAAGAAUAUGGACAUAAAUCUGGGUGUUGAGAAAUAUGCAUACAAAAUUUAGGGGUUAGUGCGCCUCUCUUUCAGCCCAUGGGCCCUCCGGAGCACGUGGACCCCCGCAACACUUCCGACAUCUCCGUCAAAAAACCGAUAAGUCCCAAAACUUUUCACGAACCCGAGUACCAACUUCCCAUAUAUGAACCUUCACCUCUGGACCAUUCAGAAACUCCUCGUCAUGUCCAGGAUCUCAUCUAGGACUCCGAACAAUCUUCGGUUACAAACAUACAUAACUCAACAAUAUUAUCUCAUCAUAGAACGUUAAGCGUGCGGACCCUGUGGGUUUGAGAACCAUGCACACAUCACCGAGACACCUCUACGGUCAAUAACAAAUAGCGAGACCUAGAUACUUAUAUUGGAUCCUACAUAUUCCACAAAAAACUUUAUCGGUCAAACCACAAUGCCAAUGAUUCAAUCAAUCCCGUAUGCAAUCCCCUUUGUUCAGCGGUAUGGUACUUGCCUGAGAUUUGAUCUUCGGUAUCUCCAUACCUAAUUCAAUCUCGUUAUCGGCAAGUCUAUUUACUCGUUUCAUAAUACAAGAUCCCGUGACUAACUCCUUAGUCACAAUUUCUUGCAAUAAUCUUGUGAUGCUGUAUUACCGAGAGGGCCCAGAGAUACCUCUCCAUCAUACAAAGUGGCAAAUCCGAGUCUUGAUUCAUGAAUACCUAACAGACACCCUCGAUGAUACCUGUAGAGCAUCUUUAUGAUCAUCCAGUUACGUUGUGACGUUUGAUACACAAGGAACUCCUCGGUGUCCAGGCCGGAGUUGCAUGCUCUCAUGGUCUUAGGAACAAAUACUUGACAUGUAGAAAGCAAUAGCAAUAAACUUAGUGAUAGGAUCAAAUGAUACGCUUACGGUUGGGUAUUUGUCCAUCACAUCGUUCUCUUACUAAGUUGUCCUACUCGACAUAUUCACUAGUGUGUUUGCAAAAUCAUGUGGUAUGUUAUGCUAUGCAUCCACUUCCCAUGAUUUAUUGGCUAACAUAAUUAUUAAUACUUUAUGGAGCCUAAAAAAUGGUACUAUGGUGAGAAGUAGCAAUUUGCCGCACAGAGCGGCUGAUAGACCUCCAGUCGGUCGCUGGUUCAUCUGGGUCAUGCGGCCACUGUAUUGGGCCUAAUUUAAGCCGACGACUUGCGGCGCACGCCGGCCGAACGCCACGAACGGCAUAUGCAUCGCUCCAAGUCUCCAAGAUGAGGCUUUGCUAUCUGAGUAGUACACGCAGUGCUUGACAUGCGCGCAUAUCCCUGUUUGAGUCCGACUCCACCUCAGCGACCUUCCCUGGAUAUAAGCCUAGGGCUGGCCCCUUCAGGUCACUCAGAAGUCACGAGCUGCAAAUCGCAACACCAUCGCCGAGCCCUCGUCUCGUUCCUCUGCAACCAUCAGCACGCCUGCUCUCAUGGCACAGUGCUCUUCCUCAGCGUUGCACGACUAGAUCCCGUCUUGAUCUCGAGCGCCGUAGGAAGGUCGUCAGUGCAGCGAGGGAGAGAGUUGCAAGGAAGUCCUUCCCGUCGUCUUUGUCGUUGCCACGCCAAUCGGUGAUGAUCUCUUCCAUGUCCAACGGCACUGCCGCCAUGAAUCGGCCCAAAGAUAUGAAGGAAGAGGUAGCAAACAAGCGCUCUGCUCCGACGCGGCCCCAGCCACAGCCGCACCAGCCCGCGACAACCAAUGCUGCCGGCAGGAAGAUCUACUACUUGGACCUGGGAGAAGCUCCGACGAGGCGACCGGUUCCGCGGACGAUGAGGAUCUUGACCUCGUCCACCGUGAAAGUUUCCGGCGUAGUGAGAGGGAGAGUUCCCGAGAAGUCCUCCGCCCCUCCGCCACCGUGCUGAUCCGCGUUGAUCCCUGCCAUCUCAAACGGCACCGCCGCCGUCAACCCGGCAAAUGCUGCGAAGGAAGAGGUUGGAAGGAAACGCUCUGCUCCACCGCCGCCGCCGCCGCGCCAAUCCGCGCUCGUCCCGCUCGCGACGAUCAAUGCUGCCGGCAAGAAGAUUGCUUACAAGGAGCUGAGAGAAGCUAAGAGGAGAUGCACUGCCUCGCCGCGUUGAUCCCCACCGCACCGAUCCUCACAGAUCCCGACCACCUCCACCGUGAAGGUUUCAAGCGAGAUUAGCAUGUAUGAUGAAUUGCAUUAGGUUGAACCCGUGCUAGCUACAUUCAUAAGGCUAGUACUUCUAUAUGAGUACUGAACUAGAGAAAAAUAGUAUUUUUUUCUAAUAGAUAAGCUACUUUGGAUGUUGACAACUGAACAAAUAAUAAUUUAUCCUAUAUUUUUUAAUAAUCACGUUACUCAACACCCCUCCCUCGUCACAACGAUAACGACGCAGACGGUAAGACUCGAGAAUAAUGCGAAGCUAAGCGGAUGGUCAUCCCCCACAGUCGUAACGGUCGAUGCAUCACGGAAGUUGUGGCUGGAGUGAAAAAUCGACGAGGUUGCUCAAGCAAGGAGGCCCUUUGUCCUGAUGUCGAGGUAGCCGAGAGAGUAGGAUGGUGUAGCCUUAGUCAAGGUAGCCAUGCGAAGAACGCGGUGAUCGAUGUCGAGGAAGUCGUUGUGGAGCCGCGGACGCAUGGAGCCACCGAGUUAGUCAUGAACACAAUGGUGUUGAAGUAAUGGUGAGCCGGAAUGAAGACGUAGUUGAUGACACGUCGCGGUGGGUUUGCCAAGAUCGGGGACACUUCAUGGACAAGGCACACAUCGGUGUUUCCAGCACCGGGCAUGUGUAGACGGAUGAAGGCGAUGUUGACGAUGCAUCAUUCCAGUUUUGCCACCGGGGACAAACGCACGCGUUGGUGUUGUCAGCGCCAGGCAUGCUUAUAUGGGGACUUGCACAAACUGGUACACCAUGUAGAGAAGGCUAGAAGAGAAGGACUCGUCGACGAUUGCGUCGCAAAUCGGAGAGGGACUUGCACAAACUGGUACACCAUAGGGUGGUGUAGCCUUAGUCGAGGUAGCCAUGCAAAGAAUACGGUGAUCGAUGUCGAGGAAGUUGUCGUGGAUCCGCGGGCGCAAGGAGGCGCCGAGUUAGUCAUGAGCACAAUGGUGUUGAAGUAGCGGUGAGCCGGAAUGAAGACGUAGUUGACGACGCGACGCGGUGGGUUUGCCACGACCGGGGACACUUCGUGGACAAGGCAGACAUCGGUAUUUCCAGCACCGGGCAUGUGUAGACGGAUGAAGGUGAUGUUGACAAUGCGUCGUUCUAGUUUUGCCAGGACUGAGAACGCACUCGGACAAAGGCACACAUUGGUUUCGUCAGCACCGGGCAUGCAUAGAUGGGUACUUGCACAAACUGGUACACCAUGUUGAGAAGCCUAGGAGAGAAGGACUCGUCGAUGAUUGUGGCGCAAAUCGACGAGGGUGGCGAUGUCGCCUGCGGUGGUCGGAGUAGAUGAAGUGGUCAGGGUAGACAACAUCGACGCUAGCGGUGAGCUAGCGUUGGAUGGAAAUGAAGGGGGUGGACGGGCGGCGCGACUCGGAUGAGCGAGCUGCAGCAACACCGAAGAAGAGAGGCGGUUGUGGCUUGACUGUGGCGUCCGCGGUUGGUUAAGAGCGCGGCGACAAUGCUCGAAGUAGACGAGGAAGAACCCGGCAAUGUGAUGAAGACUCGCACAGACAAUGGCAUUCCCGAGCUGAGGGAGGAGGCGUGACGCAUACCACAAGAAGUCGACGCUCGCGGGACUGAUACAUCUCCAACGUUUCUAUAAUUUUUGAUUGUUCCAUGCUAUAACAUUAUAAUUUUAAGAUACUUUUUGGGCAUUUAUUUGCCAAUUCAUAUUAUUUUUUAGCACUAACCUAUUAACCGAGUGAAAAGUGUUAGUUGCUGUUUUCUAUAGCUUUUUGGCUUUUCAGGUUUACAGUACCAAACGGAGUCCGAAUAGCACGCAACUUUUGGACUAUUUUUUCUGUACCAAAAGAGGACCUGGAAGGUUCGGGAGAAGGCCGACGGCCACACAAGGGCCCCACGAGCCAAUAGGGUGUGCCCAGGGGGUGGUCGCGCCCUGUUAGAUCAUCCCCCUGGCUCUCCCGAUCUCGUUCUUUGGCUUAUGAAUUCUCAUAUUCCCCAAACCCCUAGUGGAGCUCCCGAAACACCUAUUUUGCUGCCGCAAUUCUUUGUUCCGUCGUGUGCCCAUAUGGAGUCGUGUUUCGAUGCCUUGCCGGAGAGGGGAUCGAUGACGGAGGGCCUCUACAUCAUGCUUGUUGCUCCCAUGGUGAUGUGUGAGUAGUUUACCAUAGAUCUAGGGUCCAUAACUAGUAUCUAGAUGACUCUCUCUCUAUUCUUCAAUACAAAGUUCAUCGCAUCUUCACGAUGAUAGAUUAGAUGUAAUCACUUUGUGCGGUGCGUUUGUUGGGAUCCGAUUAAUUUGGGAUUUAUGGUCAUAUUAUUGAUGACAAAAUAUUUGAUUCUUAUUUGCAUGAUUAUUAUAGCUUUGUAAAACUCUCCGAUCUAUUGAUCUGGUUUCGCCAAUUAGAUUAAUCUUUCUUCAGUGAGAGGGGUGCAUUGUGGUGGGUUCAACCUGGUGGUGCUCUAUAUCCCAGUGAUAGAAAGGGACAAGACACGUCUUUGUAUUGUUGCUACUAAGGAUAAAAUGAUGGGAUUAAUUUGUAUUAAUUGGAUUCUCUUUGUCUACAUCAUGUCAUUGUUCUCUAAGCAUUACCCUGUUUUACUUAAUACUCUAGAUGCAUGCUGGAUAAUGGUCUAUAGGUGGAGUAAUAGUAAUAGGUGUAGGAAGAAUUCAGCCUAUUUUCUGAUGGACGUGAUGCCUAUACACACAUGAUUAUUGCCAUGAAUAAAUAUUGCAGAACUAUUCGCUUUUCUAUCAAUUGCCCAAUAGUAAUUUGUUUAUCCAUCGUAUGCCUACUUCGAGAGAGAUGCCACUAGAGAAUUAUAUGGCCCCCAGGUCUAUUCACUUAUAAAUUUACAAAUGCUACAAUACCCUUGCUGUCUUUAUAUAUAUUUUUUUACUUAUUUUGCAAUUUAGAUUUAUCAACACUCAUCUACACACUUCAUUUGCUUGCAACUAACAAGUCCAAGGGGAUCAACAACCCUCUUGCCCACGUUGGGUGCAAUUGUUUGGUUCUUUGUGUGCAGUCGCUGAAGAUGGGGGUUGCGUGCUACUCCUAUUGGUUCAAUAACCUUCAUUCUCACUAAGGGGAAUAUUAUCUAUAUUGUAUUGCAUGAUCCGUUCCUCUUCACAGAAAACCCAACAUAGAUCACAAGUAUCAGGGACGGUGGAGUGCACCAUGCACUGUGGUGCUACUGCAUGAAGGGGCGACAAAACAAUAGCUCGCGGGCCGGGGCGACUGCAGGAAGACCUUGGGGCGGUCAUACGUCUCCAUCGUAUCUACUUUUCCAACUUUUGCCCUUGUUUUGGACUCUAAUUUGCAUGAUUUGAAUGGAACUAACCUGGACUCACGCUGUUUUCAACAGAAUUGCCUUGGUGUUAUUUUUGUGCAGAAAUCAAAGUUCUCCAAACGUCCUAAAAAUUUACGGGGAGCAGAUUUGGAAAAUAUGAAAAAUAUCUGCGCCAAGUUCCAGCAGAGGGGGUGGGCCAGUGGGCCACAAGCCCUGGAUCCACCACCACCCCCUGGUAGCGGUGGGCAGGCUUGUGGGGCCUAGACGGCUCUGCCGCCCCAACCUCAGGUCUAUAAGUUCACUUUCGUCCCAGAAAAAAUAAAAAGAGAAGUUUUCGUCGUGUUUGCGAUACGGAGCCGCUGCCACCACCUGUUCUUCAUCUGGAGGGCAGAUCUGGAGUCCGUCUUGGGCUCCGGAGAGGGGAAAUCAUCGCCAUCGUCAUCAUCAACCUUCUUCCCUCUUCAAUUCCAUGAAGCUCUUCGUCGUUCGUGUUGGGAAACGUCGCAUGGGAAACAAAAAUUUUCCUACGCACACGAAGACCUAUCAUGGUGAUGUCUAUCUACGAGAGGGGAUGAGUGAUCUACAUACCCUUGUAGACCGUACAGCAGAAGCGUUAGAGAAUGCGGUUGAUGUAGUGGAACGUCCUCACGUCCCUCGAUCCGCCCCGCGAACAAUCCCGCGAUCAGUCCCACGAUCUAGUACCGAACGGACGGCACCUCCGCGUUCAGCACACGUACAGCUCGACGAUGAUCUCGCCUUCUUGAUCCAGCAAGAGAGACGGAGAGGUAGAAGAGUUCUCCGGCAGCGUGACGGCGCUCCAGAGGUUGGUGAUGACCUNNNNNNNNNNNNNNNNNNNNNNNNNNNNNNNNNNNNNNNNNNNNNNNNNNNNNNNNNNNNNNNNNNNNNNNNNNNNNNNNNNNNNNNNNNNNNNNNNNNNNNNNNNNNNNNNNNNNNNNNNNNNNNNNNNNNNNNNNNNNNNNNNNNNNNNNNNNNNNNNNNNNNNNNNNNNNNNNNNNNNNNNNNNNNNNNNNNNNNNNNNNNNNNNNNNNNNNNNNNNNNNNNNNNNNNNNNNNNNNNNNNNNNNNNNNNNNNNNNNNNNNNNNNNNNNNNNNNNNNNNNNNNNNNNNNNNNNUCAAGGGGGUCGGCCGAGCCAAGGGGGAGGACUCUCCCCCCCCAAACCGAGUUGGACUAGGUUUGGUGGGAGGGAGUCCUCCUCCCUUCCCACCUCCUCCCUUUUUUUUCUUUUCCUCUUGAUUUUUNNNNNNNNNNNNNNNNNNNNNNNNNNNNNNNNNNNNNNNNNNNNNNNNNNNNNNNNNNNNNNNNNNNNNNNNNNNNNNNNNNNNNNNNNNNNNNNNNNNNAAAAAUCAAGAGGAAAAUAAAAAAAAGGGAGGAGGUGGGAAGGGAGGAGGACUCCCUCCCACCAAACCUAGUCCAACUCGGUUUGGGGGGGAGAGUCCUCCCCCUUGGUUCGGCCGACCCCCUUGANNNNNNNNNNNNNNNNNNNNNNNNNNNNNNNNNNNNNNNNNNNNNNNNNNNNNNNNNNNNNNNNNNNNNNNNNNNNNNNNNNNNNNNNNNNNNNNNNNNNNNNNNNNNNNNNNNNNNNNNNNNNNNNNNNNNNNNNNNNNNNNNNNNNNNNNNNNNNNNNNNNNNNNNNNNNNNNNNNNNNNNNNNNNNNNNNNNNNNNNNNNNNNNNNNNNNNNNNNNNNNNNNNNNNNNNNNNNNNNNNNNNNNNNNNNNNNNNNNNNNNNNNNNNNNNNNNNNNNNNNNNNNNNNNNNNNNNNNNNNNNNNNNNNNNNNNNNNNNNNNNNNNNNNNNNNNNNNNNNNNNNNNNNNNNNNNNNNNNNNNNNNNNNNNNNNNNNNNNNNNNNNNNNNNNNNNNNNNNNNNNNNNNNNNNNNNNNNNNNNNNNNNNNNNNNNNNNNNNNNNNNNNNNNNNNNNNNNNNNNNNNNNNNNNNNNNNNNNNCGCGGGGCGGAUCGAGGAACGUGAGGACGUUCCACUACAUCAACCGCGUUCUCUAACGCUUCUGUUGUACGGUCUACAAGGGUAUGUAGAUCACUCAUCCCCUCUCGUAGAUGGACAUCACCAUGAUAGGUCUUCGUGCGCGUAGGAAAAAUUUUGUUUCCCAUGCGACGUUUCCCAACAGUGGUAUCAGAGCUAGGUUCAUGCGUAGAUGUCUUCUCGAGUAGAACACAANNNNNNNNNNNNNNNNNNNNNNNNNNNNNNNNNNNNNNNNNNNNNNNNNNNNNNNNNNNNNNNNNNNNNNNNNNNNNNNNNNNNNNNNNNNNNNNNNNNNNNNNNNNNNNNNNNNNNNNNNNNNNNNNNNNNNNUUUUGUGGGCGGUGAUGUGCGUUUUGCUGCCCUCCUUAGUCUUUUCUUGAUUCCGCGGUAUUGUUGGAUUGAAGCGGCUUGGACCGACAUUACUCGUACGCUUACGAGAGACUGGUUUCAUCGUUACGAGUAACCCCCUUUGCUCAAAGAUGACUGGCAAGUGACGGUUUCUCCAACUUUANNNNNNNNNNNNNNNNNNNNNNNNNNNNNNNNNNNNNNNNNNNNNNNNNNNNNNNNNNNNNNNNNNNNNNNNNNNNNNNNNNNNNNNNNNNNNNNNNNNNNNNNNNNNNNNNNNNNNNNNNNNNNNNNNNNNNNNNNNNNNNNNNNNNNAACAACAAAAUUAGAGGGCGUCUAACUUGUUUUUGCAGGGUAUGAUUGUGAUGUGAUAUGGCCAACGAUGUGAUGUGAUAUAUUGGAUGUAUGAGAUGAUCAUGUUGUAAUAGAAAUAUCGACUUGCACGUCGAUGGUACGACAACCGGCAGGAGCCAUAGGGUUGUCUUUAUACUAACGUUUGUGCUUGNNNNNNNNNNNNNNNNNNNNNNNNNNNNNNNNNNNNNNNNNNNNNNNNNNNNNNNNNNNNNNNNNNNNNNNNNNNNNNNNNNNNNNNNNNNNNNNNNNNNGAUCACCACCAACCUCCGGAGCGCCGUCACGCUGCCGGAGAACUCAUCUACCUCUCCGUCUCUAUUGCUGGAUCAAGAAGGCCGAGAUCAUCGUCGAGCUGUACGUGUGCUGAACACGGAGGUGCCGUCCGUUCGGCACUAGAUCGUGGGACUGAUCGCGGGAUUGUUCGCGGGACGGUUCGUGGGACGGUUCGCGGGGCGGAUCGAGGGACGUGAGGACGUUCCACUACAUCAACUGCGUUUCUUAACGCUUCUGCUGUACGAUCUACAAGGGUACGUAGAUCGAAAAUCCCCUCUCGUAGAUGGACAUCACCAUGAUAGGUCUUCGUGCGCGUAGGAAAUUUUUUGUUUCCCAUGCUACGUUCCCCAACAGUGGCAUCAUGAGCUAGGUUCAUGCGUAGAUGUAAUCUCGAGUAGAACACAAAAGUUUUUGUGGGCGGUGAUGUGCGUUUUGCUGCCCUCCUUAGUCUUUUCUUGAUUCCGCGGUAUUGUUGGAUCGAAGCGGCUCGGACCGACAUUACUCGUACGCUUACGAGAGACUGGUUUCAUCGCUACGAGUAACUCCGUUGCUCAAAGAUGACCGGCGAGUGUCGGUUUCUCCAACUUUANNNNNNNNNNNNNNNNNNNNNNNNNNNNNNNNNNNNNNNNNNNNNNNNNNNNNNNNNNNNNNNNNNNNNNNNNNNNNNNNNGAUCCUACUAGAUACCCAUGGUCACCACGUAAAACAUGCAACAACAAUUAGAGGACGUCUAACUUGUUUUUGCAGGGUAUGCUUGUGAUGUGAUAUGGCCAACGAUGUGAUGUGAUAUAUUGGAUGUAUGAGAUGAUCAUGUUGUAAUAGUUAAUAUCGACUUGCACGUCGAUGGUACGGCAACCGGCAGGAGCCAUAGGGUUGUCUUUAAACUAACGUUUGUGCUUGNNNNNNNNNNNNNNNNNNNNNNNNNNNNNNNNNNNNNNNNNNNNNNNNNNNNNNNNNNNNNNNNNNNNNNNNNNNNNNNNNNNNNNNNNNNNNNNNNNNNNNNNNNNNNNNNNNNNNNNNNNNNNNNNNNNNNNNUUUGUGCUUGCAGAUGCAUUUACUAUAUUGCUAGGACGUAGCUUUAGUAGUAAUAGCAUGAGUAGCACGACAACCCCGAUGGAGACACGUUGAUGGAGAUCAUGAUGAUGGAGAUCAUGGUGUGACGCCGGUGACAAGAAGAUCGUGCCGGUGCUUUAGUGAUGGAGAUCAAGAAGCGCAUGAUGAUGGCCAUAUCAUGUCACUUAUGAAUUGCAUGUGAUGUUAAUCCUUUAUGCACCUUAUCUUGCUUAGAACGACGGUAGCAUUAUGAGGUGAUCUCUCACUAAAAUUUCAAGACGAAAUUGUGUUCUCCCCGACUGUGCACCGUUGCGACAGUUCUUCGUUUCGAGACACCACGUGAUGAUCGGGUGUGAUAGACUCAACGUUCACAUACAACGGGUGCAAAACAGUUGCACACACGGAACAAUCGGGUUAAGCUUGACGAGCCUAGCAUGUACAGACAUGGCCUCGGAACACAUGAGACCGAAAGGUCGAGCAUGAAUCGUAUAGUUGAUAUGAUUAGCAUAGAGAUGCUUACCACUGAAACUAUUCUCGACUCACGUGAUGAUCGGACUUGAGAUAGUGGAUUUGGAUCAUGUACCACUUAAAUGACUAGAGAGAUGUACUUUUUGAGUGGGAGUUCUUAAGUAAUAUGAUUAAUUGAGCUAAUUGUCUUGAACAUAGUCGAACGGUCUUUGCGAAUUACGAUGUAGCUUGCGCUAUAGCUCUAUUGUUUUUAUAUGUUCCUAGAGAAAAUUUAGUUGAAAGUUGAUAGUAGCAAACUUUGCAGAGGAUUGUCCUUGUUGCUGCGCAGAAGGCUUAUGUCCUUAAUGCACCACUCGGUGUGCUCCACCUCGAGCGUCGUCUGUAGAUGUUGUGAACAUCCGACAUACACGUUUCUGAUGACUACACGAUAGUUCAAUACAAAAUACUUAAUGGCUUAGAAGCAAGGCGCCGAAGACGUUUUGAAACGUCACGGAACAUGAAAGAUGUUCUAAAGAGAUGAAAUUGUGAUUUCAUGCUUGUGCCCUUGUUAAGAGGUACGAGACCUCCGACAAGAUUCUUUGUCCACAAAGUAAAGGAGAAAAGCUCAAUCAUUGAGCGUGUGCUUAGAUUGUCUGAGUACGACAAUCGCUUGAAUCAAGUGGGAGUUAAUCUUCUAGAUGAGAUAGUGAUGGUUCUCCAAAGUCACUGCCACCAAGCUGUGAGAGCUUUGUGAUGAACUAUAACAUAUCAAGGAUAGAUACAAUGAUCCUUGAGCGAUUCGUGAUGUUUGACACUGCGAAAGUAGAAAUCAAGAAGGAGCAUCAAUAGUUGAUGGUUAGUAGAACCACUAAGUUUCAAGAAAGGCAAGGGCAAGAAGGGAUACUUCGUGAAACGGCAAAAUAGUUGCUGCACUAAUGAAGAGACCCAAGAUUAAACCCAAACCCGAGACUAAGUGCUUCUGUAAUGAGGGGAACAGUCACUGAGGCGGAGCAACUCUAGAUACUUGGUAGAUAAGAAGGCUGGCAAAAGUCGAAAGAAGUAUAUUUGAUAUACAUGAUGUUGAUGUGUACUUUACUAGUACUCCUAGUAGCAUGAGGGUAUUGGAUACCAGUUCGGUUGCUAAGUGAUUAGUAACACGAAAUGAAAGCUACGGCAUAAACGGAGACUAGCUAAAGGCGAGGUGACGAUACGUGUUGGAAGUGUUUCCAAGGUUGAUAUGAUCAAACGUCGCACACUCCCUCUACCAUCGGUAUUGGUGUUAAACCUGAAUAAUUGUUAUUUGGUGCUUGCGUUAAAGCAUGAACAUGAUUGGAUCGUGUUUAUUGCAAUACGAUUAUUCAUUUAAAGAGAAUAAUGGUUACUCUAUUUGCUUGAAUAAUCACCUUCAAUGGUUUAUUGAAUCUCGAUUGUAGUGUUACACAUGUUCAUGAUAUUGGUGCCAAAAGAUACGAGGUAAUGAUGAUAGUACCACUUACUUGUGGCACUGCCGCUUGAGUCAUGUUGGUAUAAAUUGCAUGAAGAGGCUCCAUGCUGAUGGAUCUUUAUACUCACUUGAUUUUGAAUCACUAGUGACAUGCAAAUCAUACCACAUGAGCAAGGCCUUGUUUUCAUUGAGAUGAAACAAGAUAGUAACUUGUUGGAAGUGAUACAUUUUGAUGUAUGCAGUCCAAUGGGUGCUGAGGCACGUAGUGGAUAUCAUUAUGUUCUUACUUCAAUGAAGAUUUGAGUAGAUACAAGAGUAUUUACUUAAUGAAUCACAAGUCUGAAAUAUUGAAAAGUUCAAUUCUGUUUCGGAGUGAAGUUCGUCGUAACAAAAGGAUAAACUGUCUACGAUAUGAUCAUAGAAAUGAAUAUCUGAGUUACGAGUUUUUGUACGCAGUUAAGACAAUGUGGAAAUUGUUUCGCAGUUCAUGCCACCUGGAAUAUCAUAGUGUGAUGAUGUGUCUGAACGUCAUAGCCACGCACUAUUUGGUAUGGUGCAUGCUAUGAUGUCUCUUAUCGAAUUACCACUAUCGUUUAUGGGUUAUGCAGACAACCGCAUUCACUUUAAAAUAGGGCACCGCGUAUUUCCGUUGAGAUGACACAGUAUAGACUAAGGUUUAGAGAAAUCUAAACUAUCGUUUCUUGAAAGUUUGGGGCUUCGACACUUAUGUGAAAAAGUUUCAGUAUGAUAAGCUCGAACCCAAAGCGGAUAAAUGCAUCUUCAUAGGAUAUCCAAAACAGUUGGGUACAUCUCCUAUCUCAGAUCCGAAAGCAAAGUGUUUGUUUGUAGAAACGGAUCCUUUCUCGAGGAAAGGUUUCUCUCGAAAGAAUUGAGUGGGAGGGUGGUAGAACUUGAUGAGGUUAUUGAACCAUCACUUCAACCAGUGUGUAGCAGGGCGCAUGAAGUUGUUCCUGUGGUGCCUACAGCAAUUGAAGUGAACGCUGAUAAUGGUGAUCAUCGAGCAUCGGAUCAAGUUACUACAAACCUUGUAGGUUGACAAGGUCGCGUACUACUGCAGAGUGGUACGGUAACCCUGUCUUGGAGGUCAUGUUGUUGAGCAACAGUGAACCUACGAGUUAUGGAGAAACCAAUGGUGGGCCCGGAUUCCAACAAAUGGCUGGAGGCCAUGAAAUCCGAGAGAGGAUCCAUGUAUGAAAACAAAGUGUAGACUUUGGAAGAACUACUUGAUGGUCAUAGGACUAUUGAGUAAAGAUGGAUCUUUAAAAGGAAGACAGACGACGAUGGUGAUAAGUCACUAUUAAGAAAAGCUCGACUUGUCGCAAAGAUGUUUCCGACAUGAUCAAACAGUUGACUAUGGUGAGACUUUCUCACUCGUAGUGAUGCUAAAAGUCUGUUAGAAUUAUGUUAGUAGUUGUUGCAUUAUUUUUGAAAUAUUGCACAUAGGAUGUCAAAACAUUGUUUCCUCGACGGUUUCCUUGAGAAAACAUUGUAUGUGAUACAACCAAAAGGUUUUGUCGAUCCUAAAGAUACUAACAAGUAUGCAAGCUCCAGCGAUCCUUCAAUGGACUGGUGCAAGCAUCUCGGAGUUGGAAUAUACACUUUGAUGAGAUGAUCAAAGAUUUUGGGUUUGUACAAGGUUUAUGAGAAACUUGUAUUUCCAAAGAAGUGAGUGGGAGCACUAUAGAAUUUCUGAUAAGUAUAUGUGGUUGACAUAUUGUGGAUCAGAAGUAAUGUAGAAUUUCUGUAAAGCAUACAAGGUUGUUUGAAAGGAGUUUUCAAAGGAAAAACCUGGAUUGCGCUACUUGAAUUUUGAGCACCAAAGAUCUAUGGAGAUAGAUCGAAAGCGCUUGAUAGAAGUUUCAACAAGAUGCAUGCCUUGACAAGUUUUUGAAGGAGUUCAAAAUAGAUCAGCAAAGAAGGAGUUCUUGGUUGCGUUGUAAGGUGUGAAUUUGAGUAAGACUCAACACCCGACCCCGGCAGAAUAAAGAGAAUAGACGAAGGUCGUCUUCUAUGCCUUGGCCGUACAAUCUGAAGUAUGCCAUGCUGGGUACCGCACCUGAUGUGUGCAUUUACUCAAAGUCUGUUGAGAGGUACAGAGAGUGAUCCAUGAUUGAAUCACUAGCAGCGGUCAAAAUUUAUCCUUAGUAACUGAUGGACUAAGGAAUUUUUCUCGAUUAUGGAGGUGGUUAAAAAGUUCGUCGUAAAGGGUUACGUCGAUGCAAGCUUUGACACUAAUCCGAAUAACUAUGAGUAGUGAAACGGAUUCAUAUAGUAGAGUAGAUAUUUGGAGUAUUUCCGAAUAGCACAUAGUAGCAGCAUCUAUAAGAUGACAUAAAGAUUUGUAAAGAACACACGGAUCUGAAAGUUUCACAACCGUUGACUAAAACCUCUCUCACGAGGAAGACGUGAUCAGACCCCAUAAAUAUAUGGGUGUUGGAUUCGUUGAAAUCACAUGGUGAUGUGAACUAGAUUAUUGACUCUAGUGCAAGUGGGAGACUGUNNNNNNNNNNNNNNNNNNNNNNNNNNNNNNNNNNNNNNNNNNNNNNNNNNNNNNNNNNNNNNNNNNNNNNNNNNNNNNNNNNNNNNNNNNNNNNNNNNNNCUCCUCUUCUUGGAGCUAAAUUAGCUAACUAUGUCUUUUUGCAGCUAAAUGGGCUAAUUAUGUCAUUCUAGAGGAAAACAAGCUAAGUAUAUAAUAUUAAUGAGCUAACCAAGGUUCUUAUGCCAUUUUGAGCUUAUUAUGUCUUUUAGGAGCUUAAUUAGUCAUUUUAUUGAGCUAACCAAGGUUCUUAUGAUGUUUUUACCUAACUAAGCUAAUUAUGUCAUUUUGGAAGAUAAUUGGCUAAGUAUGUCUUUGUUGGGGGAAAAUAAGCUCUGUCUCUUAUACACAUCUCCGAGCCCACGAGACGAUGCGAACAUCUCGUAUGCCGUCUUCUGCUUGAAAAAAAAAAGANNNNNNNNNNNNNNNNNNNNNNNNNNNUCCUUCUCCUUCUCUUCUCUUUCUCUUCUUCUUUUUGUUCUUCCUUUUCAUUUCUCCUCUUCUCCUCUUCUUGGAGCUAAAUUAGCUAACUAUGUCUUUUUGGAGCUAAAUGGGCUAAUUAUGUCAUUAUAGAGGAAAACAAGCUAAGUAUAUAAUAUUAAUGAGCUAACCAAGGUUCUUAUGCCAUUUUGAGGUUAUUNNNNNNNNNNNNNNNNNNNNNNNNNNNNNNNNNNNNNNNNNNNNNNNNNNNNNNNNNNNNNNNNNNNNNNNNNNNNNNNNNNNNNNNNNNNNNNNNNNNNACGGAGUGACAAAUCCCAGUCUUGAUCCAUACUAACUCAACUAACACCUUCAGAGAUACCUGUAGAGCAUCUUUAUAGUCACCCAGUUACGUUGCGACGUUUGAUACACACAAAGCAUUCCUCCGGUGUCAGUGAGUUAUAUGAUCUCAUGGUCAUAGGAAUAAAUACUUGACACACAGAAAACAGUAGCAACAAAAUGACACGAUCAACAUGCUACGUCUAUUAGUUUGGGUCUAGUCCAUCACGUGAUUCUCCCAAUGACGUGAUCCAGUUAUCAAGCAACAACACCUUGUUCAUAAUCAGAAGACACUGACUAUCAUCGAUCAACUGGCUAGCCAACUAGAGGCAUGCUAGGGACGGUGUUUUGUCUAUGUAUCCACACAUGUAAAUGAGUCUUCAUUCAAUACAAUUAUAGCAUGGAUAAUAAACUAUUAUCUUGAUACAGGAAUUAUAAUAAUAACUAUAUAUUGAUUAUUGCCUCUAGGGCAUAAUUCCAACAGUUCGUGAGUAAUCUAUUCGUAGGCUCGCUGGGCGGUGAUGAGUAGGAUGAGAUAUAUCAUGUAAUCGAGUUAGUUUUGAUGGGGAUUGAUCCCUAGUAUCCAGUAUGUUCUGAGAUUGAUGUUGCUACUACUUUGCCAUGCUUAGUGCUUGUCACCAGGGCCCGAGUGCCAUGAUUUCAGAUCUGUAAUUAUUAUGUUGUCACCAAUAUAUGUGUGUUUUAGAUCCAAUCUUGCAAGUUAUAGUUACCUACUAUGUGUUAUGAUCCGGCAACCCCGGAGAGACAAUAACCGGAACCACUCCUGGUGAUGACCAUAGUUUGAGGAGUUCAUGUGUUCACCAAGUGCUAAUGCGUUGGUCCGGUUCUUUAUUAAAAGGAGAACCUUAAUAUCCCGUAGUUUCCUUUUGGACCCCGCUGCCACGGGAGGGAUGGACAAUAGAUGUCAUGCAAGUUCUUUUCCCUAAGCACGUAUUACGACACACGGAAUGCAUGCCUACAUCACAUUGACGAACGGGAGCUAGCCACAUAUCUCUUCGUGUUAUAACUGUUGCAUGAUGAAUAUCAUCCAAACAAAUCACUAACCCAUUGCCUAGGAGUUUGUCCUACUGCUGCUAUUACUUGUUUUGCUCUGCUGUUGUUACUACUAUUGAUGCUGCUAUUACUUGUCUUGCUCUGCUGCUACUGUUGCUACUACUAUCGCUUGCUACUGUUGCUACUUGCUACUGCUGUCACUAUUGCUGUUCCUUGCCACUGCUAUUACUCGUUGCACUGCUGCUACUUGCUAUAAUCUUGAUCGCUGGUCGUUGACGGGAACCGACAAUUUCCAUCAACGGGGCAACUUGGCGCCAUUGAUACAAUCGUUAGAAAUAGUCUGCUGUGUCAACAGAUCGUUUCUGACACCGUUGUUAUCAUACUACUUUGCUGUUACUACUUUGCUUGUAGAUACUAAUCUUUUAGGUGCGGUUGAAUCAGACAAAUUCAGCUGCUAAUACUCGAGAGUAUUCUCUCACCUCCUGUCUGGCGUACCAACAAAUUUCGGUCGCAUAGUCUACCCUCGAAAACUGCUGCGAACCCACGCACUGGUGGGCCGUCAACAACAUUCUUCUAGUUUCAUUACCGGGGAGUGCUAGCAGCAUUCUUCUGGUGCCAUUGCAGGGGAAGGUUUGUUGUCACAGAAUCAGCAUUCGUCUAGCUAUUGCCAGAGAGUGCCAGUCAGGCGGCGGCGGGGACCGUGUUCUGCACCAUGACGGCGUGACGGGGCGGCGUAGCAGCGAUGCGCGGGUCGGUGCAACAUCGGGGACGGCCUCGGGCGGUGCUGGGGAUCGCGUGUUGCAACACUACAACCCGUAAAGGUGAUGUAGUGGCGGCUCGUNNNNNNNNNNNNNNNNNNNNNNNNNNNNNNNNNNNNNNNNNNNNNNNNNNNNNNNNNNNNNNNNNNNNNNNNNNNNNNNNNNNNNNNNNNNNNNNNNNNNNNNNNNNNNNNNNNNNNNNNNNGUGGCGGCUCGUGGGUUGCGGGGACCGCUUUUCGCGGCACUACGACCCGAAGGGGUGAUGUUGCGGCAAUGCGCGAGUCGAUGCAGCUGCAGAAAGAACCACGAGGCGGUGGAGCUGUGGCCCAAUGGGGCGACGCAGGAGCAGCCCAACGGUUGAACAAUGGAGGGGCGCGCUAUACUCAGGACAGUCUUCACGGGACUUGCGGAGGCGCGCACAACCGACAGCCUAGAUCGGUCGUACGAGAUAGAUGCGGAGGAUCAUGGGUGGGAGAAUGAUCGAUCCAAUCAUGCAAGGUUGGGGUCUUCACUCAUUGGAGGUGAGGUGGCGGCGUCUGAGAUGAAGCAAAAGAUGCGGUCAGCUCGACGUGACCAACGAUCAGUCGACAACUGACGAGCCCGAUGCAGCACGAGACGACGAGGACGACAUAUACGACACCCGCCCAACCCGAUGCGGCCGGACCGGUGAGCCCAGGGAAAUCGAAGCCGGCGAACCUGACAGCCAGCGAUGGCGCCGAUGAGUAGAAGGUUGGGCACUCAUACACACUAAAAGCACAUAUGCUCCCUUAGUGGUUUUGAUAAUUCACGAGAACAUACAUUGUCUCUUGGACUAAUACUUAGUUUAGAUAUAGUCCAUAGAGAGGAUUGGCUAAGGAUUGUGAGGAGAAGCCCCAAGGAAGGAAAGGAAUAGGAUAAGCCAAACUUCAAGCUUCAAGACUCUACAUUAUAUAUUAUGUGGGAAAUCACACUUGAGUCCAUAGGAAAGUCUAUACUAUUAAAAGGGGAUGAGGUGACUAUGAUGAUCCCGUUGCUCAAGUGCUUAGAGUUAGCCACCAACAAUCUUCAUGAAUUCUCCCACAAAUAUUCUGUCCAAAAUUCUAAAUAUCCGUAAUUCGGUGUCACUGACUUUUCCCAUUCAGUGCUACCGAUUUUUGCGUGAGACAGAUCAUAUGCCAAACCCUAGUUUCUCGGUGACACCUGAUACGUCUCAAACGUAUCUAUAAUUUUUGAUGGUUUCAUGCUAUUAUCUUGUCAUCUUUGAAUGUUUUAUGUACCUUUUAUAUCUUUUUUGGGACUAACUUAUUAAUUUAGUGCCAAGUGCCAGUUCCUGUUUUUCUGUGUGUUUGGCUCUUUACAGAUCUGAUUUUGGAACGGAGUCCAAACGGAAUAAAAUCCCCGAAAUGAUUUUUUCCCAAACGAAAGAAAAUCAAGGGGCUUGUGGGCCAAGCCAGGAGGGCUACAGCGAGCCCACAAGCCCCCACUCCGCCACCAGGGGGCAGCGGUGGGCAGGCUUGUGGCCUCCCUGGCGCCCCCUGACCUAGAUCUUGCGCCUAUAUAUUCCCUAAAAACCAGAAAAAAAAUCAAGGGAUCCAUGAAAAUACUUUUCCGCCGCCGCAAGCUUCCGUUUCCGCGAGAUCUCAUCUGGAUACCCUUCGUGAUGCCCUAUCGGAGGGGACUUUGGAGUUGGAGGGCUUCUUCAUCAUCAUCAUCGCCCCUCCAAUGACUCGUGGGUAGUUCACUUUAGACCUACGGGUAAGAAGGUGGGCUCUGUCGUAGAUGUGAGAUUGUCCAUCUACAUCAUUUCAUCUUGCUUAAGGCGUUACUCUGUUCUUUUGGACUUAAUACACUAGAUGCAUGCUGGAUAGCGGUCGACGUGUGGAGUAAUAGUAGUAGAUGCCGAAAGUACCGGUCUACUUGUUUUGGACGUGAUGCCUAUAGAUAUAAUCAUUGCCAUAGAUGACGUCACGACUUUGCAUGGUUCUAUCAAUUGCUCGACAGCAAUUUGUUCACCCACCGUCUACUUGCUUUCAUGAGAGAAGCCACUAGUAAACACUACGGUCCCCGGGUCUAUUCACACCUAUCGUUUCCACUUUCGCUUUUACUUUGCUUUGUUACUUUGUUGCUUUCAGUUCUCACUUGGCAAACAAUCUAUAAGGGAUUGACAACCCCUUCAUAGCGUUGGGAGCAAGCUUUUUGUGUUUGUGCAGGCUCUUGUGAUACUCCUUCACUGGAUCGAUACCUUGGUUCUCAAACUGAGGGAAAUACUUACCACCGCUGCGCUACAUCACCCUUUCCGCUUCGAGGGAACACCAACGCAAGGCUCCAAGGACACGGGGGAAAUCCUUUGCAUAUUUGCCUAGGAAGUCCCUUAAGGCGUAGCCGUAGCAGAAGGAUUCCUGGUGCCGUCGACACACCUAUUUCUGGUGCCGUUGGAAGGUCUUUUGUUGCAGUAGUAGAAGUAUUUCUGGCGCCGUUGCCGGGGAAGGAGAGACCUAUCCAAGUAGGUCUCACAAAUUCAUCUCUUGCAUUUACUUUUUUGCCAGUUGCCUCUCGUUUUCCUCUCCCCCACUUCACAUUUGCCGUUUUCUUUUGCCUUUCUCCUUUGCCGUUUUCUUUUGCUUUUUUUCCAUUUUCGUUUGCCUUUUUCUCUCGCUUGCUUUCUGUUCGCUUGUGUGCUAUGUGCCUUCAUUAUGCUUGCAUCUUCGCUUGCUGAAAAUCUAUUGAUAUGGAUCCUCAUCCACUAGCUAAUCUCUUUAAGAGACUCACUUAUGUGGAACGAAUUGCUAGUGAGUUGAGUGCACUUGACUAUCUUUAUGGACUUUUGCUUGAGAUGCGUGAAUCUAAAAAUUGUGAGGAAGAAAUUUAUGAAGUGAUUCACGAGGGCUCCUUGGAUGAAAAGCAUGAUUGCAAUAGUUUCACUAUAAAUUCUAUUAGUGACAAUCAUGCUAAAAAUAUGCAAACCCUAAGCUUGGGGAUGCUAGUUUUUAUUUGUCCACUACUUGUUGCAAUAAUCAUGAUUGGGGUGAUGAUCUUUAUUAUGAUCUUGAAAAUUUGUUCAAACCUCGUGAUGAAUAUGAUAUUUGCAAUAACAUUGAAAGUGGGUUUGGAGAAGUCAUGAGUUUAGUUGAUGAUAAUACCACUAUUUUUGAAGAGCGUCAACUUUGCAUGCAUUUGGAUCAUGAAAAGAAUAUCCUAUGGGAUAGCUACAUUGUUGAAUUUGAAUAUGAUCCCACAUGUAAUUGCUAUGGGAGAGGAAAAUAUUGUGGUAGAAACCUUCAUGUUACCAAAUCACCUCUCGUGAUGUUGAGAUUGCUCUUGUCUUUUUCUUCUUCCUUGCAUAUGGUAGCUAUUUGUUGUCUUGACAAUUUGUUUUCCUAUAAAAUGCCUAUGCACAGGAAGUAUGUUAGACUUAGAUGUGAUUUUCACAUGCUUUAGGAUGCUCUCGUUGUGCUUCAAUUCUUGUCUUUUGUGAGGGCAUCAUUGAAUGCCUAGCUAAGGGCGUUAAACAAAAGUGCUUGUUGGAAGGCAACCCAACGAAUCUAUCCUUUUUCUUUCUGUUUUGUGUUUUCCACACUAUCAUAAUUCUGUUAUGAUUGUAUUUUUUGUGUUUCUUUUUGCGUUUGUGCCAAGCAAAACCGUUAUGAUUAGUCUUGGCGAUGAUCGUUUGGUCAUGCUGGAAAAGACAGAAACUUUCUGCUCACUAAAAGAAUUUUAAUUUUGUUAUGUAAGAGAUUUUGAGUUGAUUCUUUUUGCUGCUGAUUGCAACGCAAAUUCUUCAGACUGUAUUAAUUUUUCAGAAUUUUGGAAGUACCAGAAGUAUACGAAAUAUACAGAUUGCUACAGACCGGUCUGCUGUUCACAAAUUCUGUUUUUUGUUGUGUUGGUUGCUUAUUUUGAUGAAACUAUGGAUAGUAUCGGUGGGUAUGAGCCAUGGAAGAUUGAAAAUACAGUAACCCAACAUCAGCAUAAGUAGAAUUUAAGUUUGCUACAGUACCUAAGGAAGUGGUGGUUUGCUUUCUCAUACUAAUGUUAUCACGAGUUUCUGUUUCACUUUCGUGUUGUGAAGUUUUCAAGUUUUGGGUGAAGUUCUUAUGGACAAAGAGAUAAAGAGUGGCAAGAGCUCAAGCUUGGGGAUGCCCAAGGCACCCCAAGAGAUUCAAGGAUGUAAUAAAAGCUUAAGCUUGGGGAUGCCCCGGGAAGGCAUCCCCUCUCUCGUCUUCAAUCCAUCGGUAACGUUAUUUGGGGCUAUAUUUUUAUUCACCACAUGUUAUGUGUUUUUGCUUGGAGCGUCUUGUAUCGUAGGAGUAUUUUAUUUUUGUUGUGUGACAAUCGUCCUUGCUGCACACCUAGAUAGAGAGACAUGCACUCACCAUGAUUUUGUCGAUGUUCACUUAUAUCCUUUGGUAGACAAUUCAGCUCACCUGUGCUUCACUUAUAUCUUUUGAGCUAGAUACUUUUGCUCUGUGUGCUUCACUUAUAUCUUUUAGAGCACAGCGGUGCGUGGCUUGUUAGUUGAUCUAUGCUUUGAAAGUAGUCUCAAAAGGGGUAGUUAUCGAAAGGGAUACAAAAACUUCCACCUUCAUUUGCAUUGAAUAGUUAGAGAAGUUUGAUUCAUCUCAAUUAGUUUUGAGUUGUGGUUUUGGUAAUAUUGAAGUUAUGCUAGUAAGGUGUUGUGGAUCUAGAAAUACUUGUGUUGAAGUUAGUGAUUCCCGUAGCAUGCACGUAUGGUGAACCGCUAUGUGAUGAAAUCUGAGCAUGAUUAGUCUAUCGAUUGUCAUCCUUUGCGUGGCGGUCGGGAUCGCGCGAUGGUUUAUACCUACCAACCCUUCCCCUAGGAGUAUGCGUUGAAUGCUUUGUUUCGAUUACUAAUAAAACUUUUGCAACAAGUAUAUGAGUUCUUCAUGACUAAUGUUGAGUCCAUGGUUUAGAUGCACUUUCACCUUCCACCUUCACUAUCUUUUUAGUGCCGUGCAACUUUCGCCGGUGCACAAAACCCACCAUUAGCCUCCCUCAAAACAGCCACCAUACCUACCUACUAUGGCUUUUCAAAGUCAUUCCGAGAUAUAUUGCCAUGCAACUACCACCAUGACAUGUGCCACCACGUCUACAUUACCAUUGCAUGAUCAUAAGAUAGCUAGCAUGAUGUUUCCAUUAAUGUCUAUGCCAUGCUAGAUCAUUGUCACGGUACACUACCGAAGGCAUUCCAUAUAGAGUCAUCGUUGCUCUAAGUUUUGAGUUGUAAGUGUGAUGAUCAUCAUUGAUGGAGCAUUGUCCCAUGUGAGGAAAUAAAAGAGGUCAAAGAAGCCCACCAAAAAAAUGAGGCCAAAGAGCCCACCAAAAAAAAGAUGAGAGAAAAAGAGAGAAGGGACAAUGUUACCACCUUUUCCACACUUGUGCAUAUUAAGCACCAUGAUCUUCAUGAUUGAGAGUUUCUCGUUUUGUCACCACCAAAUAGCUAGUGGGAAAUUUUCAUUAUAUAACUUGGCUUGUAUAUUCCAAUGAUAGGCUUCCUCAAAAUUGCCUUAGGUCUUCGUGAGCAAGCAAGUUGGAUGCACACCCACUAGUUUUCUUUAAGAGCUUUCACAUACUCUUAGCUCUAGUGCAUCAUUUGUAUGGCAAUCCCUACUCAUUCACAUUGAUAUCUAUUGAUGAGCAUCUCCACAGCUCAUUGAUAUGCCUAGUUAAUGUGACCAUCUUCUGCUUGUUUUGUCUUGCAACCUCCACCACACUCCACACCAUCUAUAGUGCUAAAACCAUGGCUCACGCUCAUGUAUUGCAUGAGAGUUAUAAAGGUUUGAGAAAGUAAAGGUGUGAAACAAUUACUUGGCCAAUACCGGGGUUGUGCAUGAUUUAAAUUCGUUGUGCAAUGAUGAUAGAGCAUAGCCAGACUAUAUGCUUUUGUAGGGAUAACUUUCUUUUGGCCUUGUUAUUUUGGAAGUUCAUGAUUACCUUGCUAGUUUGCUGGAAUUAUUAUUGUUUCCACGUCAAUAGCAAACUAUUGUUUUGAACCUAAUGGAUCUGAACAUUCAUGUCACAUAAGAGGAGUUACAAAGGACAUCUAUGCUAGGUAGCAUGAAAGCAUCAAAAAUUCAUUCUUUAUCACUUCCCUACUUGAGGACGAGCAGGAGUUAAGCUUGGGGAUGCUUGAUACGUCUCACAUGAAUCUAUAAUUUUUGAUGGUUUCAUGUUGUUAUCUUGUCAUCUUUGAAUGUUUUAUGUACCUUUUAUAUCUUUUUUGGGACUAACUUAUUAAUUCAGUGCCAAGUCUCAGUUCCUGUUUUUUCUGUGUUUUUUGCUCUUUUCAGAUCUGAUUUUGGANNNNNNNNNNNNNNNNNNNNNNNNNNNNNNNNNNNNNNNNNNNNNNNNNNNNNNNNNNNNNNNNNNNNNNNNNNNNNNNNNNNNNNNNNNNNNNNNNNNNNNNNNNNNNNNNNNNNNNNNNNNNNNNNNNNNNNNNNNNNNCAGAUCUGAUUUUGGAACGGAGUUCAAACGGAAUAAAAUCCCCGAAAUGAUUUUUUCCCGGAUGAAAGAAGAUCAGGGGGCUUGUGGGCCAAGCCAGGAGGGUUACAGGGAGCCCACAAGCCCCCACUCCGCCACCAGGGGGCGGCCGUGGGCAGACUUGUGGCCUCCCUGGCGCCCCCCUGACCUAGAUCUUGCGCCUAUAUAUUCCCUAAAAAUCAGAAAAAAAAUCAAGGGAUCCACGAAAAUACUUUUCCGCCGCCGCAAGCUUCCGUUUCCGCGAGAUCUUAUCUGGAGACCCUUCCCGAUGUCGUGCCGGAAGAGACUUUGGAGUUGGAGGGCUUCUUCAUCAUCAUCAUCGCCACUCCAAUGACUCGUGAGUAGUUCACUUUAGACCUACGAGUCCGUAGUUAGUAGCUAGAUGGCUUCUUCUCUCUCUUGGAUCUUCAAUACAAAGUUCUCCAUGAUCUUCAUGGAGAUCUAUCCGAUGUAAUCUUCUUUGGCGGUGUGUUUGUCGAGAUCCGAUGAAUUGUGGAUUUGUGAUCAGAUUAUCUAUGAUAUAUAUUUGAGUCUUUGCUGAUUUCUUAUAUGCAUGAUUUGAUAUCCUUGUAAGUCUCUCCGAGUCUUGGGUUUUGUUUGGCCAACUAGAUCUAUGAUUCUUGCAAUGGGAGAAGUGCUUGGUUUUGGGUUCUUACCGUGUGGUGACCUUUCCCAGUGACAGUAGGGGCAGCAAGGCACACAUCGUGUAGUUGCCAUCAAGGGUAACAAGGUGGGCUCUGUCGUAGAUAUGAGAUUUUCCAUCUACAUCAUGUCAUCUUGCUUAAGGCAUUACUCUGUUCUUUUUGACUUAAUACACUAGAUGCAUGCUGGAUAGCGGUCGACGUGUGGAGUAAUAGUAGUAGAUGCAGAAAGUAUCGGUCUACUUGUUUUGGACGUGAUGCCUAUAGAUAUAAUCUUUGCCAUAGAUGACGUCACGACUUUGCGUGGUUCUAUCAAUUGCUCGACAGUAAUUUGUUCACCCACCGUCUACUUGCUUUCAUGAGAGAAGCCACUAGUAAACACUACGGCCCCCGGGUCUAUUCACACCUAUCGUUUCCACUUUUGCUUUUACUUUGCUUUGUUACUUUGUUUCUUUCAGUUCUCACUUGGCAAACAAUUUAUAAGGGAUUGACAACCCCUUCAUAGCGUUGGGAGCAAGCUUUUUGUGUUUGUGCAGGCUCUUGUGAUACUCCUUCACUGGAUCGAUACCUUGGUUCUCAAACUAAGGGAAAUACUUACCACCGCUGCGCUACAUCACCCUUUCCGCUUCGAGGGAACACCCAUACAUUGUCGAUUUCACUAACAAAUCCUGACACCGUACAUGUCUUAUUGCAAAAUCUUCUAAAGGUUGGUUAUGGCAUAGAAGGCUAGGACAUGUUGGUAUACAUAAUCUAGACAAGCUUAUCAAAGGUGAUCAUAUUCUUGGUGUUAAAGGUGUUAUUUUUGACAAAGAUAGACUUUGUAGUUCUUGUCAAGCAGGGACACAAGUUGGUGGAAGUCACCACGUGAAGAAUAUCAUGACUGCUAGAAGGCCACUCGAGCUGCUUCACAUGGAUCACUUUGGUCCCAAUGCUUACAAGAGCCUCGGUGGAAAUUCUUUUGGUCUAGUUAUAGUUGAUGGUUUUCCCGAUUUACGUGGGUAUUAUUUCUUGAUGAGAAGUUGUAGGUAUAAAAGAUCUUCAAGAACUUCGAUUGGAAAGCCCAAAAUCAGUUUAAAGUGAAGAUCAAGAAAGCUCGGAGCGACAUUGGAUUGGAGUUCAAGAACACAAAUGCGGAUAUUUUACUUGAUGAAGAAGGUAUAUUACAUGAGUUCUCGGCGACGUACACACCUCAACCAAAUGGAGUUGUUGAGUGGAAGAACCGGACUCUCAUGGAGAUGGCUAGAACGAUGCUCGACGAAUACUAGAUGCCAAUACACUUUUGGGCAGAAGNNNNNNNNNNNNNNNNNNNNNNNNNNNNNNNNNNNNNNNNNNNNNNNNNNNNNNNNNNNNNNNNNNNNNNNNNNNNNNNNNNNNNNNNNNNNNNNNNNNNNNNNNNNNNNNNNNNNNNNNNNNNNNNNNNNNNNNNNNNNCACUUUUGGGCAGAAGCCGAGAAAACAACUUGUCGUGCCACAAACUGACUCUACCUACACAAGCUUCUCGGUAAAAGGACAUACCAGCUACUUACGGGUAACAAACCCCAAGUUGGAUAUUUUCAGGUAUUUGGCUCAAAUUGUUACAUUCUCGAUAAGGAUCGUCCUUCUAAAUUUGCUCCUAAAUAUCAUGAAGGUUUCCUACUUGGUUACGGAUAAAACUCUCAUAUUUACCGUGUCUACAACAAAUUCACUCGAAUAGUUGAAGAGACAGUAGAUUUGAAGUUUGAUGAAUCUAAUGGUUCGCAAGUCAAACAAUUGUCAAAUGAUGUAGGAGAUAAGGAACCUUUAGAAACCAUUCAAGACCUAUCCAUCGGCAAGAUUCGUCCCAAGGAGGUGAAGGAUAGUACUUCAUCAACACAAGUGGAAGCUCCUACUUUGCGUCAAGAUGAACCACAAAACGACAUGGAGGCAUCCACAAGCGGUACACGACAAGAAGAGGAGGAAGAAGCACAUCGUGAUGAUCCACCCCAACCUUCUUCAUCAUCACCUUAAGGAGAAGACACCAUCAACAAUAAUGAAUAAUAAUACGAUAACGAGGAAGCUCCACCAUCCAACAAGCAAAAGUUGUCAUGAGUUUGAGCAUGAGUGAACAAGAAUCAUCCGCUAGGUCAAAUCUUCGGUGACAUACAAACUAGGAGAAUCACUCACUCUAAAACUCGUUUAGCUCACCUUCAUCAGCAAUACUCAUUUAUCUCUAGCAUUGAGCCUAUGAAGGUAGAAGAAGCACUUCAAGACCGGAUUGGGUGAAUGCCAUGCACGAAUACUACUAGGUUAAAGCUUAUUAGUAGCACGGGUUUGUGGGCUAGCAGUAGCACGGUUUCCCAUGCUACUGCUAUGGCGCUACAACUAACAUUUAGCAGUAGCACGGUUCUUGUUGUGGAACAUCGCAUGGGAAACAAAAAAAAUCCUAUGCACACACAAUACCUAUCUAUUGUGAUGAUCAUCUACGAGAGGGGAGAGUGCAUCUACAUACCCUUGUAGAUCGCUAAGCGGAAGCGUAUAUAACGCGGUUGAUGUAGUGGAACAUCUUCGCAAUCCAAAUCGCAGCCUGUCCCGCGAUCUCAUCACGAUCCAUCCCGCGAUCCCAUCACGAUCCACCCCGAUCUAGUGCCGAACGGACGGCACCUCCGCGGUCAGCACACGUACAACUCGAUGACGAUCUCCGCCUUCUUGAUCCAACAAGAGGGGCAAAAAGUUAUAUGAGUUCUCCAGUACGGCGGAAUGGUGGUGGUGGUGGUGGAGCUAUUCUAGCAGGGCUUCGCCUAAGCACCGGUGAAACUAGACUAGAGGAGAAACAAAUCUUGAGAGAGAGAGAGAGGGCAACACGUGGCUGUUUUCUAUGUCUCAAAAACCCUCAAUACCUCUAGUAUAUAUAGGAGGGAGGGAGGGGAGGAGGCAGCCUCAAACCCUCAAGGUUUGGCCGAAUUGGAGCUGGAGGAGUCCUACUCCAAUCCUACUACAAGUAGGAUUCCUCCUUUCCACUUGGAAACCCUUUCCACCUUUGGGUUUUUUGCCUCUCAAACCUCAUGGGCCUUAGUGGGAGCUUAUGUCAGCCCACUAGGGGCUGGUUUGUAUCCUCCCACGGUCCAUAAGGCCCCUCGGGGCGUGACACCCUUCCCGAUGGUCCCCUGUACCCUCCCGACACUCUCGGUACACUACGAUGAGCCCGAAACUUUUCCAGUGACCAAAAUAGGACUUACUAUAUAUCAAUAUUUACCUCCGGAGCUCCUCGUGUCAUCCGCGAUCUCAUCCAGGACUCCGAACAACUUUUGGUUACCAACACCUAUAACUCAACUAUACCGAAAUGUCAAUUAACCAUAAGCGUGCAGACCCUGCGGCUUCGAGAACUAUGCAGACAUGACCGAGACACCUCUACGGUCAAUAACCAAUAGUGGGACCUGGAUGCCCAUAUUGGAUCCUACAUAUUCUACGAAGAUCUUUAUCGGUUGAACCUCUAUGUCAAGGAUUCAGUUAAUCACGUAUGUUGUUCCCUUUGUCCUUCCGUAUGUUACUUGCCUGAGAUUCGAUCGUCGGUAUCUCUAUACCUAGUUCAAUCUCGUUAUCGGCAAGCCUCUUUACUCGUUUCAUAAUACAAGAUCUCGUGGCUAACUUCUUAGUCACAUUGCUUGCAAGGCUUAUUAUGAUGUUGUAUUACCGAGUGGGCCCCGAGAUACCUUUCCGUCAUACGGAGUGACAAAUCCCAGUCUCGAUUCAGGCCAACCCAACAGACACCUUCGAAGAUACUUGUAGAGCACAUUUGUAGUCACCCAGUUACGUUGCAAUGUUUGAUACACACAAGGUAUUCCUCUGGUGUCCGGGAGUUGCUUGAUUUCAUGGUCAUAGGAACAGACACAUUGACAUGCAGAAAACAGUAGCAAUAAACUGACACGAUCAUAUGCUACAUUGACUGUUUGGGUCUUGUCCAUCAAAUCAUUCUCCUAAUGAUGUGAUCCUUUUAUCAAGUGACAACACUUGUCUAUGGCUAGGAAACCUUAACCAUCUUUGAUCAACGAGCUAGUCAACUAGAGGCUUACUAGGGACAGUGUUUUGUCUAUGUAUCCACACAUGUAUUUGAGUUUUCAAUCAAUACAAUUCUAGCAUGGAUAAUUAACGAUUAUCAUGAACAAGGAAAUAUAAUAACAAUAACCAAUUUAUUAUUGCCUCUAGGGCAUAUUUCCAACAGUCUCCCACUUGCACUAGAGUUAAUAAUCUAGUUCACAUCACUAUGUGAUUUUGAUGAAUCUAACACCCAUACAGUUCUGGGGUUUGAUCAUGUCUUGCUUGUGAGAGAGGUUUUAGUCAAUGGGUCUGAACCUUUCAGAUCUGAGUGUGCUUUACAAAUCUCUAUGUCAUACUGUAGGUGCUGCUACCAACGUGCCAUUUUGCAACUAUUCCAAAUUACUCCUCAACUAUACGAAUCCGGUUUACUACUCAGAGUUAUCCGGAUUAGUGUCAAAGCUUGCAUCGGCGUAACCCUUUACGACGAAAUCUUUUAACACCUCCAUAAUCGAGAAAAAUUUCCUUACUCCACUAGUUACUAAGGAUAAAUUUCACCACUGUCAAGUAAUCCAUUCGUGGAUCACUUUCGUACCCCUUGACAAAUUCAUGGCAAGGCACUCAUCAGGUGUGGUACACAACAUAGCAUACUGUAGAGCCUAUGGCUAAUGCAUAGGGGACGACCUUCGUCUUUUCUCUUUCUUCUGCCAUGGUCGGGCUUUGAGUCUUACUCAAAUUCACACCUUACAAACAGGCAAUAACGCCUUCUUUGCCGAUCUGUUUUGAACUCCUUCAAAAACUUGUCAAGGAAUGCAUUUCAUUGUAAGUUUUAUCAAGCGUCUUGAUCUAUCUAUAUAGAUCUUGAUGCUUAAUGUUCAAGUAGCUCAAUCCAGGUUUUCCUCUGAAAACACCUUUUCAAACAACCCUAUAUGCUUUCCAAAAAUUCUACAUAAUUUCCGAUCAACAAUAUGUGAACCACAUAUACUCAUUAGAAAUUCUAUAGUGCUCCCACUCACUUCCUUGGAAAUACAAGUUUCUCACAAACUUUGUAUAAACCAAAAAGAUUUGAUCAUCACAUCAAAGCGCAUAUCCAACUCCGAGAUGCUUACUCCAGUCCUUAGAAGGAUCGCUAGAUCUUGCAUACUUGUUAGGAUCCUUAGGAUUGACAAAACCUUCUGGUUGUAUCACAUACAACCUUUCCUCAAGGAAACCGUCAAGGAAACAAUGUUUUGACAUCCAUCUACAAGAUGCAGUGAUGACACACGAGUAUAAGGGAACUAUCGUAGUCCUUUCGAUAAGUAAGAGUGUCGAACCCAACGAGGAGCAGAAGGAUCUGACAAGUGGUUUUCAGCAAGGUAAAAUCUGUAGGCACUGAAAUUAUCGAUAACAAGUGGUUGUGUGGUGAAAUGAUUCGUAGCAAGCAACAAGUAACAAAAGUAGCAACGGUGCAGCAAAGUGGCCCAAUCCCUUUUGUAGCAAGGGACAAGCCUGGACAAAGUCUUAUAGGAGUAAAAACGCUCCCGAGGACACACGAUAAUUUCUGUCAUGCUAGUUUUCAUGAUGUUCAUAUGAUUCGCAUUCGUUACUUUGAUAGUUUGAUAUGUGGGUGGACCGGCGCUUGGGUAUAUGCCUUCCUUUAGGCCCAAAUAAUGGUGAAGUGUUAUGUAGUCGACGUUCACAUAACACCACUAGAGGAAAAACAACAUACAACACAUCAAAAUAUCGAACGAAUAUCAAAUUCACAUGACUACUAUUAGCAUGACUUAUCUCAUGUCCUCAGGAACAAAAGUAACUACUCACAAAGCAUAAUCAUAUUCAUGACCAGAGAGGUAAUAAGUAGCAUCACAGAUCUGAACAUAAGCUCUUCCACCAAGUAUUCCAACUAGCAUCAACUACAAAGAGUAAUUAACACUACUAGCAACCUUACAAGUACCAAUCGGAGUCGCGAGACGGAGAUUGGUUACAAGUGAUGAACUAGGGUUUGGAGAUGAGAUGGUGCUGAUGAAGAUGUUGAUGGUGAUGUGUCCCCUCCGAUGAGAGGAGUGUUGGUGAUGACGAUGGCGACGAUUUCCCCCUCCGGGAGGGAAGUUUCCCCGGCAGGAUCGUCCUGCCGGAGCUCUAGAUUGGUUCUGCUCAAGUUCCGCCUCGUGGCGGCGGAGAAUCCUCGAAAAAGCCUCCUACUGAUUUUUUCGAAACGAAACCCUUCAUAUAGCAGAAGAGGGGAGCCAGUGGGCCAGCAGGGAGCCCACAAGCCCCCUAGGCGCGACCAAGGGGGUGGCCGCGCCUACCAGGCUUGUGGCCCCCUGGUUGCGCUCCUCUGGCACUUCUUCGGCCCAGUAUUUUUUAUAUAUUCCCAAAAAAAUCCAAGUUGAUUUUCACAGCUUUUGGAGUUGCGCAGAAUAGGCAUCUCAAACUUGCUCCUUUUCCAGGCCAGAAUUCCAGCUGCCGGCAUUCUCCCUCUUCAUGUAAACCUUGCAAAAUAAGAGAGAAAAGGCAUAAGUAUUGUACCGUGAAGUGAAAUAACAGCCCAAGAAGCGAUAAAUAUCAACAUGAAAGCAUGAUGCAAAAUGAACGUAUCAACUCCCCCAAGCUUAGACCUCGCUUGUCCUCAAGCGAAAGCCUAGAUCAAUAAACAUGCCCACAUGUUUAGGAGACAGGUGUCGACAAAACAAGAUACGAACAUGCAGGCAUCAUGAAGAUGAUUAGAACAGCAAUACCAUCAUAUCAUCUCUUAUGCUAAAGUGAUAAUUCCUUCACAAAGUAAAGCAUGUAUCAAGAACCUUACCGAGAAUUAACAACCGAUAGCCUUUAGUCACUGAAGCAAUUGCAAUUUAUCACAACAUCAGAAAGAGUCAAAUAAGAGCUUGUAAAGCAAAUCCACAUACUCAAUCAUCUUUUGGUUUUGUACAAUUGCUACAACUCACGUGGUACUCAUGAGAUCAAAGUUUCAGUUGGACACAGAGAAACAUAGGGGAUUAUAGUUUCGCCUCCCAACUAUUUACCUCAAGGGUAAUAUCAACAAUAAUAAUUCAUGAAUACUUACUUCCAAGUUGACAUAUGAAUAUAGAUCUUUCCCAAGCAUAUGACGUUAGCCAAUAUAAAGGCGAAACAAGGAAUUGGUGAAGAUCGCCAUGACUCUUUCAAGGGAAAAAAGUAAAGGUACAAGAUAGGCCCUUUCGCUGAGGGAAGCAGAGGUUGUGAUGCGCUUUUGAGGUUGGAAUGCGUGUCCUCUUAGUGCGGAGGAACGUCACUUUAUAUUACCUCCUGUGAUAAAGAACUUUAUUAUGCAGUCUAUCGCUUUUAUGUCUUUCUCAUCACAUGUUCGUACAAAGCUUAUUUUCCACACACUAAUAGAUCAUACAUAUUAGGGAGCAAUUUUUAUUGCUUGCACCGAUGACAACUUACUUGAGGGAUCUUAUUCAAUCCAUAGGUAGGUAUAGUGGACUCUCAUGGCAAAACUGGGUUGAAGGUUUAUGGAUGCACAAGUAGUAUCUCUACUUGGUCUGGGAGUUUUGGCUAAUAUGAGGUGGAAGCAAUCGUCACAUGCUAAGGGAUCUCUAAUCAUAUAACAUUGUUCGGAACCAAGCAAACACAAUUCAUUAUGUUGUCUUCCUUGUCCAACAUCUACUUCUAAGCAUGCAAUAGUUUAGUGAGUGUUCACAAUCACAGAUGGUGUCAAAGAUGAUGUAUUUAUGUGUGAACCUCUCCUUCUUUAUAACUUCCUAUUAAUUGCAACAAUGACCAAGGUCUACGUUUGUCUACCCUCAACAAGUUUCAAUCAACAUUGUUUUUAUAUGUGAACCCAUCACUUCCCAUAAGAUCAUUACAUGAUCUUUCAUGCUUUUGUUCUUUUCUCAAUCUAUUGAUCAUGGCAAGAGGCAAAGCCCUCAAAUAAGACACUCUUUAUUAUAUGGCUCACGAGCUCAAAUACAUCGGGGGUGACACAAAGCAAAACUCAGGCCUAAAACACUAAGACCUUUAAUCUACUAGAGAAAAAGAAAACUGAAAAGGAACAAACUAAACAAAGGUAAAGGCAAAAGAUGUGAUGGUGAUACGAUACCGAGGCAACUCCCCCAAGCUUGGCACAGGCCAAGGGGAUUGCCUAUAGCCAUGCUCAGUUGUCUUCCUUUGGAGGUGAUGGUGGUGGAGUUGUUGCAGAGGUCUUGAGCUUGUUUAAUUUCCACUUGAGCAUAAAAUUCUGCUCCCUCAGAUCCUCAUUUUCCUCUUCAAGCCUCAACACCCUUUGGCAUAAUUCCUGCUUACUCUCCUGCAAGAAACGAGAAGGGAUAAACAAAGUCUUAGGCUUCUUCCUUGAGUCAGGGAGGCUCGACUUCUUGAACUCCACAUGCAUGUUUCCAGGUGGAGGUAGAGGAGUCUCCUCCUCAUUGGAACUUGUUUGUUCCUUCCCCUUGGUAUCAUAAUCUUCUUCCUCAUCAGUGGUCCAGCCAUAAGGAUCCAAGUCCCCAUAGACCUUGGGGUUAGCGAGGUAAUCAGCCACAUAGCUCUCCCCCUCUGAAUCCUGAGAGGACAUCUUGACCUAAAUCUGCGGCAGAAAACAGGCUUGAAAUGAAAACAGAGGAAAUCUGCGUGAUACGAGGUUCAGACCUUUCGGGAGAAUAUAUAAUGAUUUUUCCAGACCAGAAGGAGUACUCCGCAUGAAAACGGAGUCCGGGAGGCACAUGAGGUAGCCACAAGCUCCCCAGGCACGGCCAGGGGGUGGGCCUGUGCCUCGCAGUCUUGUCGCCUCCUCGCGCGCUUUCCGUACUACUUCCAAUUUUUCUAUUUUUUCAAAUAAUCCAAAACGGAGAAAAAUUUCUACUGGAAAAGUUUUGGAGUGUGUUUUCUUACGGAAUCACAUACCUCUUCGUUUUCGGAGUCUGAAACAGGCUGAUAAAUAUCCCUUAGGUAUUCUUCCAAAGUUAUGGUAUUGAUGAUAUUGCUUUCAACAUUUAUGGGAGCACCUGAGAUAUAAUGCUUGAUUCACUACCCAUUUACAACUCUCAGACAAUUACCUUUCGUGUUGUUGAUCUUGAUAGCACUGGAACGAUAUACUUCCUCAACAAUAUAGGGACCUUCCCAUUUAGAAAGAAGCUUGCCUGCAAAAAAUCUUAAACGAGAAUUAUAUAGCAAGACAUAAUCACCUACAUUAAACUCACGCUUUUGUAUCCUCUUAUCAUGCCACAUCUUAACCUUUUCUUUGAACAACUUGGCAUUUUCAUAUGCCUGAGUUCUCCAUUCAUCAAGCGAGCUAAUGCCAAAUAACCUCUUCUCACCAGCAAGUUUGAAAUCAAAGUUGAGCUCUUUGAUUGCCCAAUAAGCUUUAUGCUCUAGCUCAAGAGGUAAAUGACAUGCUUUACCAUAAACCAUUUUGUACGGAGACAUGCCCAUGGGAUUCUUAUAGGCAGUUCUAUAAGCCCACAGUGCAUCACCGAGCUUCUUAGACCAAUUCUUUCUAGACCUGUUAACAGUCUUUUGCAGAAUUAGUUUAAUUUCUCUAUUGCUUAGCUCUACUUGACCACUGGACUGAGGCUGAUAGGGGGACGCAAUUAUAUGGUUGACAUCGUACUUAGCAAGCAUUUUACAUAAAGCGCCAUGAAUGAAAUGUGAACCACCGUCGAUCAUCAGAUAUCUAGGGACUCCAAAUCUAGGGAAAAUACUUCUUUAAGCAUCCUGAUAGAAGUGUUGUGAUCAGCCCUACUAGCGGGGAUAGCUUCUACCCACUUAGUGACGUAAUCAACAUCAACUAGGAUAUGAGUAUACCCGUUUGAUUUUGGAAAAGGUCCCAUAUAAUCAAAGCCCCAGACAUCAAAUGGUUCAAUGACGAGUGAAUAGUUCAUAGGCAUUUCCUGACGUUUACCGAUAGUACCUAUUCUUUGACAUUCGUCACAAGACAAGACAAACUUACGGGCAUCCUUGAAGAGAGUGGGCCAAUAGAAACCUGAUUGCAAUACCUUGUGUGCAGUUCUGUCUCCCGCAUGGUGUCCUGCGUAGGCCUCGGAGUGACACUUCUUUAGGAUCUGUCCCUGUUCAUGUUCAGUUACACAACGUCUGAUAACACCAUCUACUCCUUCCUUAUAAAGGUGAGGAGCAUCCCAGAAGUAAUGUCUCAAGUCAAAGAAGAAUUUCUUCUUUUGCUGGUAUGUGAAACUAGGUGGUAUAUAUUUGGCAACGAUAUAGUUUGCAUAAUUAGCAUACCACGGUGUGCUACGUGAAGCAUUGAUGACAUUGAAUUGCUCAUCAGGAAAGUUAUCAUCAAUAGGUUGUGGGUCAUCAAGAACAUUCUCUAACCUAGACAUGUUAUCUUCUACUGGGUUAUCACCACCCUUUCUGUCGACAACGUGCAAAUCAAAUUCUUGUAGCAAGAGAACCCAUCUAAUAAGUAUACGUUUAGCGUCCUUCUUCUCCACGAGGUACAUAAUAGCAGCGUGAUUAGUGCGAAUAGUGACUUUGGAAUCGACUAUGUAAGACCUAAACUUUUCACAUGCAAACACGACUGCUAAAAAUUCCUUUUCCGUAGUAGCAUAGUUUCUUUGGGCACUGUCUAGAGUUUUACUAGCAUAGUGAAUAACAUUCAACUUCUUAUCAACUAUUUGCCCUAGAACAGCACCAAUAGCAUAAUCACUAGCAUCACACAUGAUUUCAAAAGGUAAGUUCCAAUCAGGUGGUUGAACAAUGGGUGCAGUUAUCAAAGCCCUCUUAAGUAUUUUGAAGGCUUCCUCACAAUCAUCGUUAGAAACAAAAGGAAUAUCCUUUUGCAAGAGAUUGGUAAGAGGCCUAGAAAUCUUAGAGAAGUCUUUAAUGAACCUUCUAUAGAAACUAGCAUGACCAAGGAAACUUAUUAUACCUUUGAUAUCUGUGGGGUAUGUGAUACGUCUCCAAUGUAUCUAUAAUUUUUGAUGGUUUCAUGCUAUUAUCUUCUCAAACUUUGGAUGUUUUGCAUGCCUUUUAUAUAUUUUUUGGGACUAACUUAUUGACUCAAUGCCAAGUGUCAGUUCCUGUUUUUUCCAUGUUUUUGACCCCUUUCAGAGGAGAUUAUGAAACGGAGUCCAAACGGAAGAAAAUCCCCGAAAAGAUUUUUUCCGUAAAGGAAGAAGAUCAGGAAGCUUGGGAGCCAAGGCAGGGGACCCUUAGGGGCCCCACAAGCCCCCACCCCGCAGCCAGGGGGGUAGGCUGUGGCCCACAAGCUUGUGGGCCCCUUGGGCGCCCUCUGCCCUAGGGGUUGCGCCUAUAUAUUCCCUAAAAAUCCCAAAAAAAUCAGGAGAUCAUCGAAUUCACUUUUACGCCGCCGCAAGCUUCUGUCUCCGCAUGAUCCCAUCUGGGGCACGUUCUGGUGCCCUGCCGGAGGGGGGAUUCGGACACGGAGGGCUUCUUCAUCAACACCAUGACGUCUCCGAUGAUGCGUGAGUAGUUCACCAUAGACCUACGGGUCCAUAGCUAGUAACUAGAUGGCUUCUUCUUUCUCUUGGAUCUUCAAUACAAAGUUCUCCAUGGUCUUCAUGGAGAUCUAUCCGAUGUAAUCUUCUUUUGCGGUGUGUUUGUCGAGAUCCGAUGAAUUGUGGAUUUAUGAUUAGAUUAUCUAUGAAUCUUAUUUGACUUUCUUCUGAUCUCUCUUAUGCAUGAUUUCAUAUCCUUGUAAUUCUCUUCGAGUUGUGGGUUUUGUCUGGCCAACUAGAUCUAUGAUUCUUGCAAUGGGAGAAGUGCUUGGUUUUGGGUGCAUACCGUGCAGUGACCUCACCCAGUGGCAGAAGGGGUAGCGAGGCACGCAUCGUGUUGUUGCCAUCAAGGGUAAAAAGAUGGGGUUUUCAUCAUUGGUUUGAGAUUAUCCCUCUACAUCAUGUCAUCUUGCUUAAGGUGUUACUCUGUCCGUCAUGAACUCAAUACACUAGAUGCAUGAUGGAUAGCGGUCGAUGUGUGGAGUAAUAGUAGUAGAUGCAGAAAGUAUCGGUCUACUUGUCUCGGACGUGAUGCCUAUAUGUAUGAUCAUUGCCUUAGAUAUCGUCAUGUCUUUGCGCGGUUCUAUCAAUUGCUCGACAGUAAUUUGUUCACCCACCGUGAUAUUUGCUAUUUUGAGAGAAGCCUCUAGUGAACACUAUGGCCCCCGGGUCUACUCCACACCAUAUUUUCAGCCUUACACUUUUUACUUUGUUGCACUUUCCGCCUUCAGAUCUCACUUUGCAAACAAUCUUGAAGGGAUUGACAACCCCUUUGAAGCGUUGGGUGCAAGCUUGUUUGUGUUUCCGUAGGUACUCUGGACUUGACGAGACCCUCCUUCUGGAUCGAUACCAUGGUUCUCAAACUAAGGGAAAUACUUACUGCUCCUGUGCUGCAUCACCCUUUCCUCUUCAAGGGAAAAACCAACGCAAGACGAGUCUCCGUCAACGUGUCAAUUUCUCGCAUUGUUGUUUGAGAAGUAGAAGAAGGAUUUCUGGCACCGUUGCCGGGGAGGAAGAUCAAGUCAAGAACUCAUCCAAGUAGGUGUCGCAAACUCAUCUCUUGCAUUUACUUUGUUUGACAGUUGCCUCUCGUUUUCCUCUCCCCCACUUCACCAAUUUGCCUUUUUCGUUUGCCUUUUUCGUUCGCCCUAUUUCUCGCCUGCUCUUUGUUUGCUCGUGUGCUUGCUUGCUUGCCAAAGUCACCAUGAAUGAAAACCCCAAAAUUUGUGACUUCUCGAAUACUAAUAAUAAUGAUUUUAUUAGUACUCCGAUUGCUCCCGCCACUAGUGCGGAGUCAUAUGAAAUCAAUGCUGCUUUGCUGAAUCUUGUUAUGAAAGAGCAAUUUUCCGGCCUUCCUAGUGAAGAUGUCGCAUCCCAUUUCAAUACCUUCAUUGAACUUUGCGAUAUGCAAAAGAAGAAAGAUGUGGAUAAUGGCGUUAUUAAAUUGAAGCUUUUUUCCUUUCUCGUUGCGUGAUCGCGCGAAAACAUGGUUUUCUUCUUUGCCCAAAUAUACUAUCGAUUCUUGGGAUAAGUGCAAAGAUGCUUACAUAUCCAAGUAUUUUCCGCCGGCUAAGAUCAUCUCUGUCCAUAAUGAUAUCACGAAUUUCAAGCAACUUGAUCAUGAACAUGUUGCACAAGCUUGGGAGAGAAUGAAAUUAAUGAUUAGAAAUUGUCCCGCUCAUGGCUUGAGUCUUUGGAUGAUUAUACAAAUCUUUUGCGCUGGCUUGAAUUUAGCUUCUAGAAAUAUCUUGGACUCCGCCUCAGGUGGAACGUUCAUGGAAAUCACGUUAGGAGAAGUGAUGUGAGCUAUGCUUCCCUGGCAACGACGCCAAGAAUAGUCGUGUCGACGGCACCAGGAAUCCUUCUGCUAUGGCUACGCCUUAAGGGACUUCCUACGCAAAUAUGCAAAGGAUUUACCCCGUGGCAUUGGAGCCUUGCGUUGGUGUUCCCUCGAAGCGGAAAGGGUGAUGUAGCACAGCGGUGGCAAGUAUUUCCCUCAAUUUGAGAACCAAGGUAUCAAUCCACUACAGGAGUGUCACAAGAUCCUGCACAAACACAAAAGCUUGCUCCCAACGCUAUGAAGGGGUUGUCAAUCGCUUAUAGAUUGUUCGCCAAGUGAGAACUUAAAGCAACAAAGUAAAAAAGCAAAGUAAAAGCGGAGGUGUAAAUGAUGGAUGUGAAUAGACCCGGGGGCCGUAGUGUUUACUAGUGGCUUCUCUCAUGAAAGCAAGUAGACGGUGGGUGAACAAAUUACUGUCGAGCAAUUGAUAGAACCACGCAAAGUCGCGAGGAUAUCUAUAGGCAUCACAUCCAAAACAAGUAGACCGAUACUUUCUGCAUCUACUACUAUUACUCCACACGUCGACCGCUAUCUAGUAUGCCUCUAGUGUAUUAAGUCCAAAAGAACAGAGUAACGCCUUAAGCAAGAUGACAUUAUGUAGAUGGACAAUCUCAUAUCAACGACAGAGCCCAUCUUGUUACCCUUGAUGGCAACUACUUAAUGUGUGCCUUGCUUCCCCUACUGUUACUGGGAAAGGUCACCACAUCGUAGAACCCAAAACCAAGCACUUCUCCCAUUGCAAGAAUCAUAGAUCUAGUUGGCCAAACAAAACCCAAGACUCGGAGAGACUUACAAGGAUAUCAAAUCAUGCAUAUAAGAAAUCAGCAAAGACUCAAAUAUAUAUCAUAGAUAAUCUGAUCACAAAUCCACAAUUCAUCGGAUCUCGACAAACACACCGCAAAAGAAGAUUACAUCGGAUAGAUCUCCAUGAAGAUCAUGGAGCCCUCAUCAUAGAUUCAUAAGGCAAUCUUAUUUUCUUUCUAGGAAAAUGCUCCAUGCCCUUCUUUAGGGGAAAUUGAAAUCUAAUAUUCCCUUCCUUCAUAUCGAUGAUAGCACCAAUAGUCCUUAGGAAAGGUCUACCAAGAAUAAUGGGACAUGAAGGAUUGCAAUCUAUGUCAAGUACAAUGAAAUCCACGGGUACAUAGUUCUUAUUUGCAACGAUAAGAACAUCAUCGAUCCUUCCCAUGGGUUUCUUGACAGUAGAAUCCGCAUGAUGCAAAUUAAGAGAACACUCUUCAAUCUCAUGAAAACCAAGAAUAUCACAUAAAGACUUUGGAAUCGCGGAAACACCAGCACCCAAAUCACACAAAGCAUUGCAUUCGUAGUUUUUGAUUUUGAUUUUGAUAGUAAGUUCCCACUCAUCAUGAAGUUUUCUUGGUAUAGAGACUUCUAGUUCGAGCUUCUCUUCAAGAGAUUUCAUCAUAGCAUCUACGAUAUGUGCGGUAAAGGCUUUGCUUUGGCUAUAAGCAUGUGGAGAGUUUGCAAUGGAUUGCAUCAAAGAAAUGCAUUCAAACAAGGAGCAACUAUCAUAAUUGAAUUCCUUGAAAUCCAAAGUGGGAGUUUCAUUACUACCAAAAUUUUGAUUUCUUCUACUCCACUCUCCACACCUUUAUCAUCAAGAUAGGUGGACUCUGAAUCAUUGGGGCGUUUUUCAAUCAAAGUGGAUUCAUAUCCAGCCCCUUCAUCAAUAGGACUGACACGCGAAAACAAAGAUUCAAGAGGAGUCACACCAAGCACUUUAAGAUCUUCGUGAUUUGCAUCACUAGAAUGCACCCUUUUAAACCAUUCAUGCCUAGCGCGAAUUUGGGUGGUUCUUUCUUUGCUCUCAUUCAUGGAGACACGCAUAGCUUUUAAUGUUUCCUCCAAGUUGACAUUGGGAGGAGCACAUCUAACUUUCAAAGCAUCAAUAUCACAAGACAUCCUAUCAACGCUCUUAGCCAAAUCGUCUAUUUUGAGUAGUUUUUCCUCUAUGGACGCAUUGAAAAUCUUUUGAGAAUUGAUGAACUCUUUGAUAUUACUCUCUAAAUCAGAGGGUAAUUUGUUGUGAUUUCCAUAAGUGUUGUUGUAGGAAUUGCCAUAAUUGUUAGAGGAGUUACUAGGAAAAGGCCUAGGAACAUAGUUUCCUCUAAAAGCAUUGUUGUUGCCAAAAUUGUUCCUACCAACAAAAUUAACGUCCAAACUAGCGUUGCUACUCUCAAUCAAGGAAAAUAGUGGCAUGUCAUUAGGAUCUAAAGGAGCAUUUCUACUAGCAACCAAAUUCAUCAACUCGUCCAUCUUAGCACUAAGCGAGUUAAUUUCUUCUAUAGCGUGUACCUUUUUGCUAGCACGUGACCUUUCAGUGUGCCACUGAGAGUAGUUGGUCAUGAUAUUGUCUAGGAGUUUUGUAGAGUCUCCUAACGUGAUUUCCAUGAACGUUCUACCUGAGGCGGAGUCCAAGAUAUUGCGAGAAGCAAAAUUCAAACCAGCGUAAAAGACUUGUAUAAUCAUCCACAAACUCAAGCCAUGAGCGGGACAAUUUCUAAUCAUUAANNNNNNNNNNNNNNNNNNNNNNNNNNNNNNNNNNNNNNNNNNNNNNNNNNNNNNNNNNNNNNNNNNNNNNNNNNNNNNNNNNNNNNNNNNNNNNNNNNNNNNNNNNNNNNNNNNNNNNNNNNNNNNNNNNNNAAUUUCUAAUCAUUAACUUCAUCCUCUCCCAAGAUUGUGCAACGUGUUCAUGAUCAAGUUGCUUGAAAUUCAUGAUAUCAUUACGUAGGGAGAUAAUCUUAGCCGGAGGAAAAUACUUGGAUAUGUAAGCAUCUUUUCACUUAUCCCAAGAAUCGAUACUAUUUUUAGGCAAAGAAGAAAACCAAGUUUUUGCACGAUCUCGCAACGAGAAAGGAAAAAAGCUUCAACUUAAUCACGUCAUUAUCCACAUCUCUUUUCUUUUGCAUAUCGCAAAGUUCAAUGAAGGUAUUGAGAUGGGAUGCGGCAUCUUCACUAGGAAGGCAGCGUUGAUUUCAUACGAUUCCACACUAGUGGCGGGAGCAAUCGGAGUACUAAUAAAAUCAUUAUUAUUGGUACUCGAGAAGUCGCAAAGUUUGGUGUUUUCAGCCAUGAUGACUUCAACAAACCAACAAGAACACAAGCAAGCAAGAAAACUGGCAAAGGAAAACGGCAAAAGGCAAAAUAAAACGGCAAAGGAGAAAGGCAAAUGAAAACGACAAAUGUGAAGUGGGGGAGAGGAAAAGGAGAGGCAACUGGCAAAAAAGGUAAAUGCAAGAGAUGAGUUUGUGAUACCUACUUGGAUAGAUCUUGACUUGAUCUCUCCUUCCCCGGCAACGGUGCUAGAAAUACUUCUGCUACUGCAAUAAAAGACCUUCCAAUGGUUCCAGAAAUAAGCGUGUUGACGGGAGACUAUUCUUGUCUUGAUACUCCUCAGCAACGGCGCCAAGAAUCCUUCUGCUAUGGAAACACCUUUAGGGACUUCCUUGUCAAAUAUGCAAAGGAUUCCCCCGCGGCCUUGGAGCCUUGCAUUGGUAUUCCCUCGAAGCGGAAAGGGUGAUGUAGCACAGCGGUGGUAAGUAUUUCCCUUAGUUUUGAGAACCAAGGUAUCGAUCGAGAGGGAGGAUCGCGUCAAGUAACAAGUACCUGCACAAACACAAAGAGCUUGCACCCAAUGCUAUUAAGGGGUUGUCAAUCCCUUAUAGAUUGUUUGCAAAGUGGGAACUGAAAGCAAAAAGUAAACAAAGCAAAGUAAAAGCGAAAGUGGAAACGAUAGUUGUGAAUAGACCCGGGGGCCGUAGUGUUCACUAGUGGCUUGUCUCACGAAAGCAAGUAGACGGUGGGUGAACGAAUUACUGUCGAGCAAUUGAUAGAACCGCGCAAAGUCGUGACAUCAUCUAUGGCAAUGAUUAUAUCUAUAUGCAUCACGUCCAAAACAAGUAGACCGAUACUUUCUGCAUCUACUACUAUUACUCCACACGUCGACCGCUAUCCAGCAUGCAUCUAGUGUAUUAAGUUCAUAAGAACAGAGUAACACCUUAAGCAAGAUGACAUGAUGUAGAUGGACAAUCUCAUAUGUACGAUAAAAGCCCAUCUUGUUACCCUUGAUGGCAACAAAACGACGCGUGCCGUGCUGCCCCUUCUAUCACUGGGAAAGGUCACCACACGGUAUGAACCCAAAACCAAGCACUUCUCCCAUUGCAAGAAUCAUAGAUCUAGUUGGCCAAACAAAACCCAAGACUCGGAGAGACUUACAAGGAUAUCAAAUCAUGCAUAUAAGAAAUCAGCAAAGACUCAAAUAUAUAUCAUAGAUAAUCUGAUCACAAAUCCAUAAUUCAUGGGAUCUCGACAAACACACCGCCAAAGAGGAUUACAUCGGAUAGAUCUCCAUGAAGAUCAUGGAGAACUUUGUAUUGAAGAUCCACGAGAGAGAAGAAGCCAUCUAGCUACUAACUACGGACCUGUAGGUCUGAAGUGGACUACUCAUGAGUCAUUGGAGAGGCGAUGAUAUUGAUGUAGAAGCCCUCCAACUCCAAAGUCCCCUCCGGCAGGGCACCGGGAAGGGUCUUCAGAUGAGAUCUCGCGGAAACGGAAGCUUGCGGCAGCGGAAAAGUGUUUUCGUGGAUGCCCUGAUUUUUUCUGGAUUUUAGGGAAUAUAUAGGCGAAAGAGCUAGGGCAGGGGGCGCCAGGGAGGCCACAAGCCUGGUAGCCGCCGGCCCCCCUGGUGGCGGCUACAGGGCUUGUGGGCCCCCUGUGGCUCUCCUGCCUUGGCCCUCAACUCCCCCGAUCUUCUUCUGUUCUGGAAAAAAAUAUUUCGGGGAUUUUAUUCCGUUUGGACUCCGUUCCAAAAUCAGAUCUGAAAAGAGUCAAAAACACAGAAAAAACAGGAACUAGCACUUGGCACUGAAUUAAUAAGUUAGUCCCAAAAAAUAUAUAAAAGGUACAUAAAACAUCGAAAGUUGACAAGAUAACAGCAUGAAACCAUCAAAAAUUACAGAUACGUUUGAGAUGUAUCACCCACAGCCUAAGACUAAGAGAUACGAUAAGAAUGACUUCGCUGCUAGGAAGCAUGGUAAAGAAAGGGAACCAUGGGUUCAUAAACUUAUGCCCUUUCCUCCUAAACCAUCCAAGAAAAAGGAUGAUGAAGAUUUUGAGCGCUUCGUUGAAAUGAUUAGAUGUGUCUUUCUGCAAAUGCAUUUGACGGAUAUGCUCAAGAUGUCUCCGUAUGCUAAGUACAUGAAAGAUAUUGUGACUAAUAAGAGAAGGAUACCUGAGAUUGAGAUUUCCGCCAUGCUUGCUAACUACACUUUCAAGGGCGGAACUCCUAAGAAACUAGGUGAUCCCGGUGUGCCCACUAUACCUUGCUCCAUUAAAGGCAACUACGUUAGAACUGCUUUAUGCGACCUUGGAGCCGGUGUUAGUGUUAUGCCUCUCUCUCUUUAUCAUAGACUUGAACUGGAUAAGUUGACACCCACUGAAAUCUCUCUGCAAAUGGCUGACAAAUCAACUGCUUUCCCUAUCGGCAUUUGCGAGGAUGUGUCUGUUGUGGUUGCUAACACCACUAUCUUAACAGACUUUGUUAUCUUGGAUAUUCCCGAGGAUGAUGCCAUGGCUGUCAUCCUCAGAAGACCCUUUUUAAACACCGCAGGGGCUGUUAUAGAUUGCAACAAAGGCAAUGUCACUUUCCAUUUCAACGGUAAUGAGCAUAUGGUGCACUUUCUGAAGAAACAAUAUCGAGUACAUUGCAUCAAUGCUAUCGGAAAAACUUCAUCGAUUCUUAUUGGGAGCUUUGAAUGCCCUAUUCCUUGUGUCAAGAUGAAGUAUGAUUUGCUUGUUGGGGAGGUUCACAUCCCCAUUGAGGUGACCUAGUGACUAUUCGGAAAUUCUCCGUUCUCUUUUGCGAUUCAAAAAGUUUUGUCGAGGGGAUUUGAUCAACCUCAUUGACGGAUUUCUUUCGAUGACCAUGAGAUGGAUGAAUCAAGGAGUCACAAACCUCUGUUCCAAGCUUUCACUUUAGGUUGCUUAGAAUAAAAAUGAUAGAUUUAGUUUAGUUUUCCCUGUUUUCUGUUUUAGCGUCCGAUAGAAAGGUACCCUGAAAAUAAAAGUUCUCCGAACGUCCUGAAAAUCAAGUAUGAUUUUUUCUGGAAUUUUUGAAAAAUUCUGAGACAAAGAGCUUGUCUGGGGGCUGCACCAGUGGGCCACAAGCCCUUGGG